rnacentral:lncRNA from 1 species
ACAAAUCAAGCCUCACUCCACGAAGGAAUCAAGAAACCCGGAUCACAAAGGUCACAAAAACAAACUGCCCUCUUCGAACCACAGAAGAAUGAGGGCUAAUACAUAGUGUAUCACUUUCUACCGAGAGACUAUAUACAAAAUCACAAAGAUUUCACAAAAAUUUGAACUUCCAACAUGAAUCACACAGAUUUGUACACCAUACCAAAAAACCCAGUAUAUUAACACAAGGAAAUGGAGUAGAACUUCAUCAUCCCUCAAGUAUACACCUGAGAAUCACUCAAAAUUGGCUUGAAUAUGUGAAGAAGAGGGAUUUCAUACACAGAGAAGAAGAGAGAUGAAGAGACGACCCCAAACCCUAGAGAAAAUCUCUCAAGUCUGAAAAUGUAAGAAUAAAGUCUCUCUCUCCAAUCUGAAAAAUCACGUUCCUAGUAGAGAGUCACAAGAUUUCAUAAUUGGAAGUCUCUAGAAUGUGAUCGGAUGGUCAUCAUGAUGCCAGGUGUCGAAAUCUUGUUAAUUGGCACAAUUAAUAGAGUUGUCAUUUUGAGAACAUGUUUUUCUCCACAGAAUUUUGGAAGCACACUUGACAAAAUAAAAAUCGACAGUUUGAAUUCUCAACACUAACUUUACGAGGAAGCGUUCAAAUAAUUUUGUUAAUCUUGAUUCAACAAAGAGAAAGUUCUUCCUUUCAUAACGGUGGUUUCAGAGAAAUUCAAAAUUUCCGUAAUGGGAUAAAAACUCUUUCGGUCACCAAACUUUAAUAUGUUCUUCAGUCAUCGUACUUAUUUUAGCAUAAAUGGUCAUUGAACUUAUAAAGUUGUUCCAAUUAAGUCACUGGCUAUGAAUCCAUUAGUUAAAUUUAACACAUUUGGGGAUGUGCCUACAAAUUCGAUCUCGCUACAUUGAUAUUAAAUUUGACAGUUUUUUUAUGGUGUGUGAAGUGGCACACUUUUUUACCCUUGAUUUCAACAACACUUAAAAUAAUUCAUGGCACAUAUUUUUAUGUCUUAUAAAAUGUCAACCUUAAUGUAUACACAGAAUGUACUAAUAGCAUUUUCCCUACAAAUUAUUGUAAGAAUUAUGUGACAAAAGAAAUGACAAUAAACUCAAGUCAAAUUAAUAUCCACUUCAAUAAUAAGUGUCUGAGUUUAAACAUUUAAACGAGUGCUAUAAAAUCAAAAUCACAUGUGAUGCAAAACAUAAUUGUAAUGUUGUGUUGCUCAUUGGACUGUUUUCAUCCAAAAUAGACACAAAAUUCCUUGAAAAAUUACUUCUUUAAAUCCUAGUCUAAUGAGCGAAACACAAUGGCUUUGCCCCCGACGUACGGUCCAUUUUAGUCAAAUUUCAUCGGUUAGGGUUUCGAAAAUGAUUUUUUUCAUGUUUUUUAAAUGAUUUUGUUAAUUUUAAUUAAAUUAGGAUUUUAAUUGCAUUUAGGAUUAUAUUAUCUUUAAUUCUUAUCAUUAUCUGAAGUAAGUCAUUAUCUAGAGGUUUAGUUAUUAUCCAUAUUUUAAUUAUUGCUUUAAAUAUAAGUUGGAAGCCUUCAUGGUCUUAAUUGAAUUUAAUUAUAAUAAAGAGCUUUGAGAAGUUUCUGAAAAUUAUUCCAUCUUUCUUAACAUUCGUGAGCGAAUCAACAAGUUUGAAUUUUUUGCGAGUUUUUGUUCUUCCCUAUAAGCUUCCGCUAUGUCAACAUGUCAAACACUAGCUUAUUAAUGCCAUCUCAUAAUUCUUAUAACUACUGUCAAUGACAUAAACAACAGCACCUAAACAAAACCGUAAACUUUAGUAAUUGAUAUGGAAGGAUUGUCUUAACUGAAAUAUCUUUGUAAAUUUGCCGACAAUCUAUGCUAAAAGGGAGUUACUAAAAUGUCACAUUUUGAGAGUUUGAUGACCAGAAAAGUUUGUUAACCUGUUCAGAAAUUAUAUAUAUAUAUAUAAAUGAUGAAUACUAACUUCACAUAUCAAUGUUACAUACUAGUCAUUCUCAUCCAAGACACAUGAGAGCGUAGUUGAGAUUGAAGACCAAGAGUUGAGGCAUCACAUGGAAUUGACCCAUAAUCUCCAUUGCCUCCUCCUCCUCGUCCUUCCAAUUGUCUCCCAUGUCUCUCCCCUCUCGAUAUCGCUUUUUUGUGACAUUAUUUUGUAUUUAAGAUCUGUUUGCCAAGUUAAAUGGUUAAUCUCCUUUUACAAGAUAAAUAAAGUUAUAAAAUUUGAGAAAUUGUCGCAAAUGGUCACUAACCUUAGUCUACCUUGUGGAUAUGGUUUAUAAUAUGUUUCUUGGCACAAACGUCACUGACCAAUGUGUUUUAGUGCUAUUUUGGUCCUUUUUAUGAAAAAGACCAAAAUGCUCUUAAAUUUUUAUUAGAAAAAAUUGCAGUUGGGUUCCUAAACUUUGCAAAAAGGUGCAAAUGGCUACUUUACCGUAUCUUUUUAUAAAAUAAAUUGAAGGAAACUAACAAGAUCAUUUUUGUUCCGAUUUAAAACUUUAUUGAUCAAAUUGAUUAUAUGCGUGAACAUUUUUUAUUUUUUAUGUUUUUGUGUAUAUUUUACAAAACUAUUAUGAACUAAUUAAAGUUUAAACUUGUGCUUAAUUAACUAUAGCACGUUAAAGAAAAUUAUUGGUUGUAUUAUUAAGUAAUUACGCUGUUUUAGAAUUUAAACUUUUAUUUUAUAUUUAUAACAAAAAGAUAAUAGAAAACAAUAUUUUAUCACGAAGACAAAUCUGUGAGUAUUAAGCAGGUAGAUGCUCUCAAAAUAAAGCAGUCGGCUUGGAUACAACAGUUGGGUGAUUAUAAAAAAUAGACUUGUGUUAUAUCACCAAAUUACAAGGUAGUGAACUACAUGUUCAAAUAAAUGAAUUUCGUAUCUUAACAUUUAAUCUAGCCAAUGAUUAAAUGUUAUUUAUUGUCAUGUGUACAAGUUAAUUAACAUCAAUAUUGUUACACAGAAUUAUUCUUUCAAAUUAGGCGAACCUGUUUUUAGCAAUUGUUAGACUUUAUUUAUUAUUUUUGUUGAAGGGUCAAAUAACUGGAGUCAUGGUUAUAUUGUUUGCUAUUUAUUUGGCAUUAUUAUAUAUGUUAGUGGGGUUAGUGCAAUUAGUGGGAAGUAUCUUGUAUAUUUUAUCUAUAUCUAUAUUAAAGAGUGUCAAAUUGAUGAGAAAGGUUCGAUGAAUUAAUUAUUUUUGCGAGGGUAGGGUUUGUAUUUAAAAGUCCAUUGGUUCCUCGAAUUCAGUAUAUAUUAAGAGGUGUAUAUUAAAAGGUCUGAAUUCGCUCCAAUCAUCACAAUUAUUUUUGUAACAAACAUGGAUUACAUGAUAUGUUUGGCCACGACAUCAUAGUUAAUAUACAGUGCAACUUGCAAGUGUGAAAACAACAUUCCUACCACAAAUGAAUUUCGAACUCUAGUUGAGGGGAAUGGGCUCAAAUAGUAAAGCUAAAAUGCGAUCUUUUGUUUCAUGAUUUUGAAUUCCAUGUCCAUCUCCAUACUGGUACAUGUAUUGUACCAUUCGAGCAAGAUUCACUGCAAUUUCAAUGAAUGUUUGUGAGAAUGGACAAUUUGCAUCUCGACCUUUGUUAAUCUUUUUCCAGGUCUCGCAUAUCAAAAACCUUAUGUGUUUGCGUAACUCAUCUUCGGAAGCACCAGUUUCGUUCAUGUAACAUUGUAUUGAUUUAGGAACAUCGCCUCUUUCCAAUUCAUCCUGAAUUAAUAAAGCAUAAAAAACACCUUUAGUUGAAAGGGUUAAUUUCGAAUUCCUAUUGUCUCAUUGAUUUCAUUAACCAAAAAUGUUGUAAACAUGAAAUGAAAUGGCUUGCUGCAUACAUACCGAUGAUGUUGCUAAAUCAUCUGCAAGCCUUAAAAUCGUAGCCGACCAGCGAACUAUAUCAGGAUAUUUCUCUAAGCACUGAAUGGCUUCUUUCUCUAUCGGAUUGGUAACAGAGAAAAAAGAAUGUGACAAUAUUACAUGAGCUGAUAUUGAAAUCAAUGCAUUUUCCAUAUGCUCUUCCAUUGUUGGGGUGUAUCCAGUGAAGCACCAUUUUGCCUCUUGUAAGUAUGCUUUGCAUAAAUCUGUCCACUGUGACAUUGAUUUGACAUGCUUAUUGUAAAUAUCUUAGAUCGGAAAAUUUUAAGGAUAUUUAAAACAUAUAGAGAAAUUUCUGUUGGUUGUAGUAAAGGAUAAAAUAUGAGAUCACUUAGUAUAGAAACAGUACUCAUUAUAAGGGCUCGUGCAAUUGUGCUACUCCUCUUAACUUCAUUAAUAUUUUAAGAUAGAAGUCUAUGACCCAGAAGGCGUAUCAUACAAGAUUUGACAAUAAAAUGAACAAAAUUUUCUUUUUCUUCUUUAAUAUUAUUUGAUGUUAUCUAGUGCGCGUUUGACCCACAGAAUUUUGAAAGAAUGUGUGAUUAAAAAAUAAGAAAACGUUUUGGAUUUAUGUGUAAUAUUAUUUUAUUGAAAAAUAUGUAGUUGAAAUGAUGUUAAAUUACUUUUAGGAAUAUAUAUAUAUAAUUUUUUUUUUUUGAAAGAAUGCGAUUCAAACAGACCUGAUAUUCAUCAUAAUACACAUGCUAAUAAGGAUAUAUUCUUGAAGGAAACUAAUAGUACCACUUUUCUUAAAUAUGGAAUAAUUACGAUCCCUUUUUCUCUGAGAACAUCGUAAGCCAUUUCAUUGAUGAAGUUGUUGAGUGCUAGAUAGAAAAUUUGCAUGUAAUCUGGAAGUUGCUCAAUUGCACUGACAUCCCAUCUGUAAAGUUCCAAGAAGAAAUAAUUGUAAGAGCUACAAAGAGAAAGGAGGCUUGGAAAGAAACAUUAGGAGGACGUUGCUAACCUUUCAAUGAUGUAUGUAAAAAGUUCCAUUUCUUCAAACAUACCAUACACAUCAUAUAUAUCAUCCAUAAUUGUAAUAAAAACAUUUACUUUGGUUGCAUCUAUUCGUGAAAAUCCAUAUUGUGGUUCAAAUAGCACUCCUAUAUUUCAAAAGAAACAUUCCACGAGCCUAUCCCUGGCAAAUGGCAACAUCUUGGCAAGGCAUGUUCUCUUCCACCACCUAUUCAUAUACAGAAACCAAGGAUGGUAAGGUUAGGAGCUUAAAAUACGAUAUAUUUAGCGCACUCGGCAAUACCUGGAGACAUAUUUUAGUUCCUCAAGAUAUGUUGCUUGAACAAUGUUGAAAUCCAGUUUUGCAAGUUGGAGAAGAAUUGGAUUCUUGUCUGGUCUCUUCUCAUAUUUGUUUAUGAACCGCCGUUGAAUGAAUUAAAUAAAUGUGUACUCUCCUAAUAGAUUAAAUUUUUAGACGAAAUAGUUCAACACUACCCUGCUUCAGCCCGAGGUAUGGUCCAGUGCAGUGGAAUCUCCAAGGCAUGGUGCACCAAUGGAUCACAAUGAAUGUCGUCAACACUUUUAUCCUCGAGAUGUUUGAUAGUGAAUUCUCUUGCCAUUUCCAGAGUACUCUCACCUUCUAUUGACAAGAAAGAAGCUUCAUACAGUUGUAGUAAUCCCUUUGUAUCAUUACAUAACCUUGGCUUGAAAUCACCCUUCUCAUUCUUUAAACAAUCAAAUCUUUCUGCAAUCAGCCAAGCUUUGGCAUGUUAAGCGAAAAAAGUGAUGCAAAAAAUAAAACCUUAAUUUCUACUUAGGAGAGCAAUAAUAAACAAAGAAAUACUGAGAUCUUUUGUGUAGUGGACUAUCAGGGAAAUCUAAUACAUGUAGGAAAUAUACAAUAUACCCCUGAAAAAAUAUUACAUCCGUGCUCGAUUCUAUAAGUGUGCAUUAUGAUUAGGCUACAAGGAAUCUGACAAUAAGAAAUCAUAAAUCAACAGAAUAGAUAAAGGAUUCUAAGUUGUUUUUUGUGCACCUUGAGAGACAUUAAAGCCAUGUUGUCUUAGUAGUCUAAAUUCCAAAGCUGUAGCAUACAAAUCCUUAAUCUUUGGCUCUUUACUUUUGCUAUAUUUUCGGUUUAUAAAAGCCAAUAUUUGCUCAAUUUCAUCCUCAAAAUGGUAAGAUAUUCCCAGCCUCUCCAAGUUAUCAAUUAAUUCCAACUGAUCCAGUGGUUCCAUCGUUUCAUCAAGCAUCAUCUUCACUUGCAUCUUCAUCUCAGAAGCCCUUGUUUUGUAUCUCUCUUCCUACAUUAUGCAUAUCAUUUUUUGUCAGUCCUUAUAAUAAAUAUAUAUAGAAAAAAAUUCUACAGAUGACGAUAAUUACCGUGUAUUCACUAUUUAAGGACUGAAUAUAAUCGAAUUCCCAUAUAGGGGGCUUGUAUUUUCCUGAUCGCCUAAUCACGGUCUGAUUGUAAGACGUAGAGGCAAGAAUUCGAUAUUGUUUAGCAUUAGAAGCAAGGCUAUCAGUAGUUGUACCCAAAGCAAAACGGAUCUCCAUUUUUGGAAGCUCCGUUUUGAACGAGCAAACAGAAAUUGGCCUCAGAAUUUGCAUGUUGAUAACCUCUCUCUCUCUUUCUCCCUCUCUCUCUAUAUAUAUAUAUGUAGAGAGAGAGAGAGAUGAUCUAUCAAACGGACAAAAUGUAACCCUGUGGCGCUUUAGUAUUUUUCACAUGGAAUAAUACGAAGUUACCGUGUUAAGUGUUAAAAUUGGCACCGAUUUGCAGUACGGACAGGAGACCAAACAGGGGAGAUGGAUGAGUAUUUUUUUUGGCAAUACUUUACUCACAUAGGCCCUCCCCAUGUGAGUAAUUUGCUGUGCACGAAGCAAAAUGCACAUUACACGUGAUUGCAUUCUCUUCGAUUUUCAACAUUUUUGAACCAAAAAUCAAUGUACUUAUCAAACACAAAUCAUUACUUACUGUAUAGAUAAGAAUUUGGCGAGUUAGAUUGAUUCUGAGUCCACAUAUCAUUACUUACUUUUCUUUCUAAAAACACAAAUUUCUAACCAGCUUCGAAUGACGGAGACCCAACACGUGAGUGAUCCACUUCUCAUUGCUCUCCUUAUUAAACCAAAUAAAUAGAUGGAGAUACAUUUUUAAUUCGUUUAUUUAUUUUUAUCAUUCAAUUGAAUACUUCUAAUUAGGAGCUAUUUUGUCAUUCUUAGUUAGGAUUCGUCACUUUUUAAACUCUUUUAAUAGCGUGUUGUUUUCUUUGUUGUUUCUUAUGAUCUAUAUAAUAUUGGAGUUUUUCCCAAUUGAUCAAUCUAUUUAGACAAAAUCAAUGAAAUUCGAUUUGUGUAUAUUCGUUCUCACUGCUUCACAAUCUAGAGUUGGUAGAGUUAGAGACAAUCUUUGGAAGAGAUGCAUAUCAAGUAUAUCAAUUAUUAUUAUUAUUAUUAUUAUUAUUAUUAUUAUUAUUAUUAUUAUUAUUAUUUUAAGUUUCUCUGUAUUGUCUUCGUCGAUUUCGGUUACUAAUAAUGACUAAAUAUUGACAUAUUGAAUUUUUAGGACAAAUUGCACAGAACAUGCCUAUAAAUUACAAGUUUUGGAUCUGUUAAUGUAUUUGCCUAACUAUUGUAGUGGAUUGUAAAUUUGAUUUCCACGACUUAAGUACAAACGAAAUUGAACAUGAGAGAAAUCUUCUGUCAUUAAUAUAGUGGUGGCAAGUUUUGGGCCUGACUCGAUUUCUCAUGACGACCAUUAUUCUAAAUGUGAACCAUUAUUCUUGUCUAGAUCUUUAGAUGAGCCAUUGUAUAAUUUGCCUAAUCAUUGGAGUGGUAGGAAAAUUUUGACUUUGUUAGAAUUAAGGUGUGACCCGAAUUCUAUUUGAAAGAUAAUUGAAAAUUUUAAUUAAAGUUGACUUAAGGAAAAUUUUAUUUCAAAUGCUAUUUUGAAAUCCUAUUCGAAGUUUGUUAGGUAAAUUCUAGUUUAAAUUCUAUUUGGAAGUCAACUGAAAGUUGAAAUUUGUGUUGAAUUUGAAGAGAUCAAGAUAUAGAUUAGGAAGGACUUCUGGUGCAAUCAUGCUCGCUUGGCGCUUGACUGGAGCUCGAGUGUCCAAAGUAGUGAAGCCAGCGAUCGCCUAAUGCUUGAGUGCCAUAUUCAUCCUACCUAGGCCCAUUUUCGCGUUUUACAAGCAUUUUCAACAUUCUAUUUCUUCUACGAUAUCAAGACUAGGGUUAUGGAUGUCUUCUAUUUGUUUCCUAUUUAUAUUUGGCUAUUCUUUACAAAUUAAUCAGGUUGUUAAACCUCAUUAUAAGUUAGACAAAUUAUAAACACAAAAUCAUUGUAUUCUUUAUCCAUAUUCUAGUGAAAUAUCAUUUCCUCUACAAAUUAUCUUGUUCUUGGGUUUGUGUUCAAUUACUUCAUAUUGUGCCAUAAAUAUAUUAUUCGUUUCUCGUCCAUUAUUACAACGAAUUGUUAUCAGAGCAAUUCGAUAUCUUACAGACUUUGUCGAAAUAAGCAAAAAAGAUAUUGAACAUAACAAGUGUCAUUAAUUUAGGGGUUGAGUGACCAAUUUUUCUCUGUUGCUGCCUUAAGAUUUGGGUUUAGUAGAGGUGGUUUAAGUGCAAGUUGACGUAGCCAUAGAGUUCACAUUUUUUAUUAUUUUAUUUUUUUGAAUACUUAUUUUACGCAACUGUAUAAUUGGCGUGGAUAAUUUGAGAUCUUUAUAUGGAUCAUAUUUGGCUAGCCUGAAAGGUACCUUCCAACAAAUUUUGCGGUUGACUGUGUUUACAAGUUUAUUCAACAAAAUAACUAUUUUAUCCUCAACUAUUUUAUUUAUCAAAGCUAAAGAAAUAUCCCUUAUUCACACGAAAUUUGUUGUAUGUAAAAAAUUAUAUAUAUCAUAUACAUUUCAUCAAAGUGACAAGUGUCAUAAUAUUUUAAUAAGUUUAGUGAUAACUCGAAUAACCUUUGAAGUUCAACGAUGCCUAAGAAAAAAUUGAGAAAAUUUAAUAGUAACUCGCUUGAAGUUGAAAGGCAAUUGAGAAACAUUAAUGUUCACUAGCAAUAGAAAUUUUGAACUCUAUAUAAGACCCUGUUUGACAUCCAUUAAAAGGAAUUUUUUGAGAAAAAUGUGUUUUGGAAUAAAGAUUUUUUGGAGAAUUAGUAGUUAAAAAGUAGAAAAAAGUUUUAAAUUUGCGUACAAAAUAUUUUAUUGUGAAAAUGUGUGAUUAAAAAUGAGUUGUUAUUAUUAUUAUUAUCAUCAUCAUCAUCAUCAUUAUUAUUAUUAUUAUUAUUAUUAUUAUUAUUAUUAUUAUUAUUAUUAUUAUUUUAUUUUUGUAAAAAUGAUUGUCAAACACUUAGUAUGAAGAAGAUGUAUUAAAUGUGAUAAAAAAGAAUUCUACACAUCCGGAGAUAAGUAGAUACAAGCCUAACUAAUUUUGCUAGAAAAUACAAAGUUAAAUUACGCGAUAAGAAAACUGUGUCCGGGGAUUAAUGCAUGGAGGAGCCAUUCCAAUGGGCAAUUCUGAAAUUUAAGUAAUAAAGCAAAUAAAAUCAAGUUGAAUGAAGAUAGUUCGAAAAUAAAAUCCAUUGAAAAUUCACAAAUUUACAAGAGAAUAUAGUUUCUAAAGAAGUAAAUAUCCAAACGCCGAAUUUUAAUAUUUUAUAUAUAAAGACAACAAAAUAUAGAUUCAGAUUGCAGAAAAUAGAAAUAAAAAUUCGAACAAUGUAAAGGAAUAUUAAUCAAUUGCAAACUGUAAAAAAACAAUAAAAAAAGGCGACAUGUAAGCACUUUAAAUAGCGGAUAAAUCUAAAUGGACAAGGUAACGUAGGCUUUGUCUGUCUAGAGGGCGCGCGUGGCGCCAAACCCCUUGCCAAUAGGGGACGCCUUCUAUAGCCAAGCCCACCACAUCCAAUAUAAUAUUUUAUGAACAACCCAAGUAUCAAUUGAUCAAUAUUGACUAUCUUCAACAUGAAAAAUUUCAAGCCAAUUUAUAUUUGAACUUCAAAAAAAUAAAUUAAAAAAAAAUCGUUUUCCUUGUGGUCAGAUUGUGAUAAGGAGAUUAGGAUGAGAAUUCAAAUAUAUUCAGUCGUUAAAUAUUGAAUACGCAGUAAUUGUAUCAUUUACAUGAAAACAUCUUAGUUUUUUCUAGAGAUGGUAGUGGAGUGGGUUCGGAAUAGGGCUUAGACGGGUGGAGUGGUGGCUUGUCCCUUAUAUAUAUAUAUGUGUGUGUGUGUGUGUGUGUACAUUUUCAAAAUUAAUUCGAGUUAUGCUAUUAUUAGAAAAUAAAAUAAAAAUUCAAAAUUUUUAAAUCCAAAGUAAAUAAUGCUCAAACCAUAUAUAUAUAUUUUUUUUUAAGGGGGCGAACUCCGGUUUGGCCCCAUUCGAGACGUGGCGGGAUGAAUUUUUUUGUCAUCUCUAAUUUUUUUCGUGCAAUCAAAUUUUGAUUUUGCAUAAUGUAGGAACUAGAGAAAGAGAGAGACGCGAUGGGGGCUUCUCAAAUGAAGAUUCAAGUGAAGAUGAUGCUUGAUAAAACAGUAGAGCCACUUGAAGUACUAGCACCAACUCAAAUAAGUUGGUAAUGGCAUGCAAGAAGCAAUACAUAAACAGGGCCCAUGUGGCACUGUUUGAGAAGAGUUGUUCAUUAAGUAGGGACAAAAGGUCUGAUUAGACUGCAAGUAGAUUGGAAGUAAUAAUGCUUUCAAUAAUGCAAGCAAAUAAUUGCAUUAUGUUUGCAAAAUAAAUGCUAUCACUCUUUUGACAGGAUCUAGGUAUUCUUCAUUUUGGAUCAAAAAUUAAGUUAUAAAAAAUUUUGAAGCAACAUAAAAUUAAUGAGAAUAAUUCAAUACAUUACUACGAAUGUUGUCUAUGCAUUUCCAUAAUUUGAAAUCAUCGUAUAAUUACAUUAUUAUCAAUAUUGCAAAUAUAACAUCCUCAAUGUACAAAACUGACUAUCAUUCAAUAGUCGAAUAUCCAAUUCAAUUGCAUGGUUCAAACCGUGGUUGAGGUCUUGAGGAGUCUGAUGUUGAUGUGGAGAAAAAAUGUGGUCGGUCAUCGACGUUGAUGUCGAUGACCUAGGUAGGAAAAUGCAACUAUAUGGUAAAAAUGACAAAUCUAGGUAUUGGGGGAAGAAUGAGAUUCAAGGCUUAAAAGAAGUUGGGAGGCAGAAAGUGGAUGAAAAAAAAAAAAGUGUUCAAACUUCAAAUAGUAGAAAAGUGAAAAAAAACUAAAAUUUAAAAGGAAAAUUCCAAAAUUUUCGUGGGCUCAGCAAACCCCAUAUGACCCCACGUAACUCCAAUCAUAAAUCAAUCUAAUGUCAUCACUUACCCAAUUCGUAAUUCAUUGAUUGACUUAUAUGUAAAACAUUAAGAUCACGUUUUUAAAGCUGUUUGGGACAAAAAUCUUCAGUGUCUCUUUUUGAGCCCUUAACAAAUAUGUCCACUUCAACAUAUAAAAUAAGUGUUGUACCUUGGAAAAAAAAAUACUACACAUCAUUCUUCUUUACUUCUAAAAAUUUUAUCUAUAAUUCAUGAGAAUAUUUUGAAUGAUUGAUAUAUUUCACGAGUAUUUUAGAAAUAUCACUCUAGAGGUAUUGUACCAAAAAAUCUUAGUAUCUUGUGGCUAGGCAUGUGCACACAACAAUAAUUCCUAAACAAAGAAAAAUGAAAAAGUUUAUCAAUUAAUAAAGAUUAUUACCCCAUGGUUGUCUGCACCAAACCAUGUUUAAUUUAUAUUUUUCUUUUUAGCUCGUUUUACAUUUUGUUUUUUCACUGCAUGGAUGAGAUUUUUUUCAAUAAAAGUAUCACUGCAAAAAUUUAUAUGUGAGAAAAAAAAUAAAAGAAGUAUAAAUCGAUAAAUAUAUAAGUGACCCCUAUGAAACAAGAUAAAGCAGGGAAACACUAUAUUAUAAUUAAAUGACAUUAUUUGAAUAUGAACAAUUAGAUUUUAUUAAUAAAGAUGAAUUAUGUGUGACAAAUGUUAUUAAUCAUCACAAGGAAAUGAUACUUGUACAAAUGAUCCUUUAAGAGCGUAAGUUUAUUUCUAUUAAAGUAUAUAUACUAUUAAUUGCAAGAUGGAUGGAAACAGGUUUUUUUUUUUUUUUUUUUUUUUUUUUUUUGUUGGAAACCAUUGAAAAUGACCUCUAUUUUUUUUAUUUUACGUAACAUCAAUAUGUUGAGGGGGUCAAUGCAACGAUUGUAGUAUUAGGGACCAUUUCCACACAAGGGCCUUACAUUAAGGACCAUCUAUACCAAUUUCCUUGUUAAUUAAUACUCCACCUUUGUGUUCGCUUGAAUAAAAAAAAAGUUUUAUUGUGGAAAUGCCUCAACGUAUGGAUCUAUUGAUACCCUUACCCUUUUUAAAUUGGUGGAAACCCCCCGUAUGAACUUUGAAGUGCGGAACCCAUUGUCUUUCAUUUUCUCAUAAAUCCCUAUGAAAUGACGAUUUGGGAAAAAAUAGUAGAGAAGACAGCUUGGUAUGUCAAAUUAGAUGUAAUAUAAAUGUGGAGAAACACAACUAUAUGGUUUGUGAUCUGAAAUGAAGGUUAUUAUGCACAUAAAAAUUGCAAAGAUUCAAUCAACAACACACGAUGAGUGGAGGCAUGACGAUAUUGCUAGAAUAUGACCCAAAUUUCUAUUGGGAUUAGGAUUGGGUUGGUAAAUUGAUAAAAGGAAAUGGAGUCUUCUUGGUUUGGAAGUUCGAUUGAAAAAGAGGAUUAAAGUUCAUCAAUGAUUGAAAUUUUGAUUGGUAAAAGAAUUUUGGAAAAUUGAAGACUUGAUUUUGAAAUUUUGGUGGAUAAAAAAUCGUCACAAUUUCGCUAACUGGCAGCUAACUUUGGUGUUCAAGCAUUAGAGGUGAAAAUCGGAGUAGAGAGAUGCCGCGUUGCCCGCUUAGUGUCGCCUGGCACUGGAGUGACAAUGUUAUUCGGACAGGAAUAUAUAUAUAUAUAUAUUCCACGUGAUAUAGGCUCUUAAAAGGAUAAAUUAACAAUAAAAUCAUAGUUAUAUAGAUUAAAAACUUGAGAUGGUUAUUUAAAUUUAGAUUGAGUGUAUCAAAUCUCGUAAGGCAAUUUUAGUUUCUUGAUAUAUUUAAAUUCUUCUUUUCUUUCAUAUAAAUCUUGUGUUCUUAUGUGAUCCAUUAUUUUUCAUAUUGCUCUUAUUUUCUCGUCUUUAUUAUUUGGCCGAUUUAUCUUUACAAUUCCAUACGAUUCAUCAAGAACUAUGUGUUGAAAAUAGAAGAUGCGAGUCAGCUUGAAGAAGAAGUUUAGCUGAAGCAUUGUCAUAAUCAGAAAGAAAUAGGCCAGGUUGGAUUAAUGACAGAACAGAUGACAAAGCAACAACAGAAGAAUGAUCUAGAAGAGGAUUAGUUAUAUUUUGUUAUUGUACAGCAGAAGAAAAAUCUAGAAGAAUAAUUACCUAUUUUUUUGUGUAAGUUAGUUAGAAAGGAUUCCUUCAUUUUGUAAGGGGCCCUAUUGUACAUAACACAUGGUGAAUUGAAUACAAUUUCAUUCUUCUCCUAGUUCAUCAAUAUCAGAAUUUUUAUCUUUUAAAAUCUAACAUGGUAUUAGAGUUAGAAAUGGAGGAAUCCAAUUCAGAAAACACAAAUCCCACCCCAAAUACAAACACUAGUCCAAGCCAAAUCCAAAACCAAACUAGAGGAGGGAACUCAGGUGUCCUUUCUCUUGACCCAACUCAUCCUAGCAACCCUUAUUAUAUAGGUAGCAAUGAUGGAACUACUGUCAUGCUGGCACCCAUGCCUUGUGCUCUAGUAAUUAUUAUUCCUAGGCUCGAUCAAUGAGAAGAGUAUUGAGAAUAAAAAAUAAGCUAGGGUUCAUAGAUGGUAGUCUUUGUGAACGAAAAAAUCUAAAUAAUCCAUUAAUGGAACAUUGGUUAAGGUGCAAUGACAUUGUCAUAACGUGGUUGUAGAAUGCCAUGGCAAUUGAUAUUAAGAGUGGCAUCAUGAAACAACUUACCUUUUUUGGCUUGACCUUGAACAACGCUUCUCCCAGCAAAAUGCUCCAUGCAUCUUUGAAGUAAAGAAGGAUAUCAUAACCUUGAUGCAAAAUCAAGACUCGGUGAGUGUUUACUUCUCAAAACUCUCUUAGAUGAACUGCUGAAUUAUGAAAGUAUUCCCAAUUGCACAUGUGGAGAUCUAAAAAUUGUCGUUCAAAAUCAAUAAAGGGAUUGGGUUAUGAAAUUCUUGAUGGGGCUAAAUGAUUCUUACAAAGAGAUUAAGGUCCAGAUCUUAUUGAUUAAGCCAUUUUCUAGCCUGAAUGAGGUAUAUUCAUUGAUCCAGCAAGAGGAUAAGAGGCGGGAGAUAUCUAAUCUAGUUCCUAUUAAUUCUGACUCCAUGGUUUUUCUGAGCAAAAGGGGUUCUAGAGAAGGAGGAAACCAACAUUUUUCAUCACAGAAGGGGGACAAAUAUUAUUGCACUCAUUGCAAGGUUGUAGGCCAUUCCCUUGAAAGAUGCUUCAAAGCAAAUCCAAGCAGGCCAAUCUGCUCUUUACUAUAAGACGCCAAGACAUGAAGUGAACAAAUGUUUUAAACUCUAUGGAUUCCCACCAGGCCACAAGUUGAACGGCAGAGGAAAGCAUGCUGCCAACGUGGUCUCUACCGGCAUGAUACACAAUCAAGAAGUGGUAAAGGACAAGGGCAAAAUAUCCUUAAGUCAAGAGCAAUACUCUUAGUUGAUGGCACUACUCAAACCAGCAACAGGCACUCAUCACUCCACCCUUUCAUCAAACUGUUAGGCAAUUUGUUGUCAAACGACCUCCUCGGGCGAUGAUGUAACCUCGGUUUUAUUAUCAAUGGCCUUGGCCAUAUGAUUGACUAGUAUAUCGACACAAUUAUCGAGACAACACAAUCCACAUUUUUAUGGACCGUUCGAAGCAACCUAUUUUAGAUAGUGUUGCUCACGAUUCGCCCCAUUUCCUUGGAAGGCUAUAUUAUUAUUUUUGAAUCCCACUUUAAUUGAGUGGAGCCUUGUUUUGGUCCACAAUUUAACCCUAACCUAACUUACCUAUUUUGGACAUUUAAUUCGCACAUAAUCUUACCUUCCUCUCGGCCUCCAUGGUGUGUGCCUAUUUUUCCCUUCUCUUUGUGAGACUCUCUUCUCGACUUCUUGCUUUACUUCACUGUGACCUUUGUGGUUAAUUCUUUGUGGGCACAUCAUUGGACUUUACUUUCCAACCUAUAGCAACCGGAGUGGGGCAGCAGUGGUUGUGGUUCUUGGAGUUGUCUCAACCUUUGUGGUGUCGAUGAAUUGGUAAACUGAGCCCAGUUUUGUACUUAGGGUUCGGUGGAAAUCAACUCUACAUCUAGUAUCAAAGCCGGAGUAACCUUUCCCGGCCAGAAAAUCACCAAAAAUCGACGGUGGAGUCGCGAUUUUGGUGUAAAACCGAACCUGCAAUCCCCUUUUCCGGCCAAUCCAGUUACUUUCCCGCGAAACCGAUCCCAUAUUCGAAACCAGCAGGCUGAGGCGCCCCUUCGUGUGUGGAGCGUGGCAGCGGCAGUAACCGACGACGGCGGGGCGUAGGACUCCGACAGCCACGCGUGGCGGUGAUUCCGGGUGAACUUCCUUCGAGCAGUUUGCUCAUUUUAAUCCCUUGAACGCACUGACACUGUUUAUUUUCUAUUUUAGGUUACACAGAAAAAGUUGGACAAUUUUGCCCCCGGUGGAUCGACAGUUGAAAUUGCAUAUAUCUACUGAAUUACUUUAGGCCAAGAUUGUGGCCCUAAAGCAGUAGAUUUGCAUCUCUCUCGAUUAUAUGGACUCAAACAUGUUCGCUCUGGUAAAUUGGCUUAACCCGUUAAUUUUUUCAACAUUAGCGCGUCACCGUGUGGGGAUGACAAUAGGUUGGGGGUUGUCAUUGCUUGGCAACCAUUGCUUGUACUAGAAUUAGGGUUAUAUGCUCUUGAUUGAUCUUUUUGAUUGAGUAUUUGAUUUUUGGUGAAAAUCAAUUUUGUAAUUCUUAGUAAUCUAAUUACUGUGGGAUUAGUUAUCUGCUAGACGUAUUUUUUGCUACAUUAUUAUUUCUGCUGCUUACUUAUUCCGUUAGAAAUACCGUGACCUUACCUGUUCGAACAUUUCCUUGAUCUAAGACCGCGAGUCUUACGAAACUCUGGGAAUCUAGAACGGUGUAUAUUGUCUGUGACCCUAGGACUACUUUGUGUGGUUUGAUUGUGGUUUGUGCAUUUUUGACUAUUGUGUAAAGAUGACAACUCACAGUUUUGAUCUGAGAAUUUUUAAUGGAAAGGGUGACUUUGCUAUUUGGCAACAAAAAAUGAAGGGUAUUUUAGUCUAACAAAAAGGUUUCAAAAGCCAUUGAAGGCAAUUUUUCAACUGAUUUUUCACAAGAACAAAGAGAAGAAGCCAAUGAGUUUGCUUAUACCUCAAUUAUUUUACACUUGUCUAACGCCAUUUUAAGAAAGGUGGGUAAAUUGAAAACCACUAAAGAGCUUUGGAAGAAAUUAGAAGACUUGUAUUUGCUUAAGUCUACACCGAAUAAACUUUACCUGCUUGAACUUUUUUCAGUUUCAAAAUGGAUUCUUCAAAAGAUCUUGAUGACAAUCUAGACGUGUCUAACAAAUUGGUGUAAGACAUAGUUAAUUGUGAUGAGACUGUGUCCGAAACUUAUAAGGCUAUAAUUUUGCUCAAUACAAUUCCUGAUUCCUAUAAGGAAGUUAAGAAUGCUAUUAAGUAUGGUAGAGACAUGUUAACACCUGAAAUUGUCAUAGAUUCCCUUAGAAAUAAAGAAAUGGAAAUUAGGGCUAAAAAACAUGAUAAGAGGAAUGGUGAGGUACAUAUGAUGCAGGGUAGAACUCAAUUUAGGCAAAAUAGUCAUGAGGGAUAUCAAACUAGUGGCGAGUCAAGUGGGAAUGGAUGGAAAAAGAAGAGCAAAAGUAGGUCUAGAUCAAAAUCUAGGACUAAGGCGAGAAAAUGCUAAGGUUGUGGAAACACAGGGCAUUUUAUAGAAGAUUGUCAUAAAGAGAAGGUUAAGCUAAAGGCUAAGGAGGGAGAUGAGGUAAAUGUGUUAGCAUCUAAUUCUGAUAUAAAUGGUGGUGAGGUCUAUAUGAUUACAAGUCCAGUUGCAUACACUGCUGAAUUAAAUCUAACUGUUAAUUCCCGCAUCCAUGAGUGGAUACUUGAUUUUGGUACAUCUUUUCAUGUGACGUCUGAAAAGAAUUGGUUUUAUAAGUUGCAUGAAUCUAACGUUGGACAUGUUGUACUGUGUGAUAACUUUGCCUAUACUAUUGCUGGAAUUGGUGACAUAAACGUAAAAUUUGACACUGAUUUUGUGUAUACGUUAAAGGAUGCUAGAUAUAUUCCUGAAUUAUCUAGGAAUCUGAUUUCAGUAGGGAGACUUGAGAAGGAUGACUUUACUGGUAAAAUUGAAAAUGGUAUGCUAAAAAUGAUCAAGGGUGCUUUAGUUUCCAUUAAGAGAAUUAAGAAAAACGAUAUAUACAUUACUGCGGGGGAAGUGAUUAAAGUGUGAAUUCCUCUAUCUCCUCUAUAAAGAUUGAUCACACACACACAUGGCAUAAUAGACUUGCUCACGUAGGGUUCAAGGGACUUAAGCUACUUAAUGAAAAGGGUGCUUUUGGUAAUGACUGUGUGUUAAAUUUGCCAUUUUGUGAUCAUUGUGUGCUUGGUAAGCAUCACAAAACUUCUUUCUCCAUGAGUGUUAAUAGAGCUAACGGCAUGCUCGAAUAUAUGCACUCUGAUCUAUGGGGUCCUACUAGUAACCCCACAUCGGGUGGUAAUAGGUAUUUCCUGUCUAUUAUUGAUGACUACACUAGAAAAGUGUGGGUCUAUCUUUUGAAGGAUAAAUCUGAGACCUUCAAUAGUUUUAAUAAUUGGAAGAGACAAGUGGAAAACCAAAAUGGUAAGAAAAUCAAAUUUUUAAGGACAGAUAACGGCCUAGAAUUCUGCAAUAAAGAAUUUGAUAGUAUGUGUAAAGAGAGCGGCAUAACUAGACAUAAGACCAUUCCCUACACCCCUCAACAAAAUGGGGUAGCAGAAAGGAUGAAUAGAACCAUAGUUGAUAAAGUACAUUGCAUGAUAAUUAGUUCAGGUGUUCCCAAGUCAUUUUGGGGUGAGGCUGUUAUGACCGCUUGCUAUUUGAUUAAUCUGACUCCUUCUGUUGUAUUGAAUGGUAACACUCCGCAUGAGAGAUGGUCGGGUAAACUGAGUGAUUACUCGAUACUUAGAACUUUUGGCUGUACAGCUUUUUCUCAUCAAAGUGAGGGUAAGCUGGAACCUAGAGCUAGAAAGUGUGUUUUUCUAGGAUACCCCGAGGGUGUUAAGGGUUAUAGGUUAGGGAUAGAAGCCAAAAAGGGGUUAAAAUCAUCAUAAGUAGAGAUGUCACGUUUAACGAAAAUGAGAUGUCAUUUAUUAAAGGGAAAACUGAACCUGAGAGUGAAGUAGAAUCAGGUGAAGAGAGAGACCAGUUUAAGGUGGAGUUAGGAAAACUCGGUCCACCUGCCCUUACAGUUUCAAAUGAGGUGGAGACUCAAACCUAGGAACCCGAAGUGGGGAAUAGUAACGAAAUAGUGACAAAAGAACACUAUGAGGAAGAAAAUCAUUUAGCUAACUAUAACUUAGUUAGGGAUAGAGAGAGGAGACAGACGAGAGAACCAAGAAGGUUUGGUUUUGAAUCUGAAUUAGCUUUUGCCCAGGCUAGUUAUGAAGAACUAGUUGAUAAAGAGCCAAAGACCUUUGAAGAAGCAAUAGGUAGUGAUCAAUCUAAUGAAUGGCUUAAGACAAUGAAAGAAGAGAUGAGUUCUCUAGAAAAGAAUCAUACUUGGGAGUUAGUACCUAGGCCUAAGAAUAAAUCAAUUGUUGAUUGCAAAUGGGUUUUUAAGGUUAAGGAAAGAACUAGCAACUUGGAACCCCUAAGGUUUAAAGCUAGGUUGGUGGCUAAAGGCUACACACAGAAGGAGGGCGUUGAUUAUAAUGAAAUUUUCUCACCAGUUGUUAAGUACACCACUAUUAGGGUCAUGCUCGCAUUAGUUACACAUUUUGACUGGGAACUUAAACAACUUGAUGUAAAAACUGCUUUCUUACAUGGUGAGCUUGAUGAACAAUUUUUCAUGAAUCAACCUAAAGGUUUUAAGGAUAAGUCAAAACCUGAUUAUGUGUGUUUUCUGAGAAGAUCCUUGUAUGGGUUAAAACAAUCUUCUAGACAGUGGUACAAGAGGUUUGAUUCCUUUGUACUCACUAUAGGGUUCCAAAGAAGUAAAUUUGAUCACUUCCUGUAUUUUCAACAUAAUGAGACUGAUGAUAAUCAUCUGUUUUUGUUGCUUUAUGUGGACGACAUGCUUUUGAUUGGAUCAUCCUCUAAGUGGAUAAAUAACAUAAAAGCAAAACUAAGUGGUGAAUUUGACAUGAAAGACCUAGGUAAGGCUAAGAGAAUCUUAGGUAUUGAAAUCGAAAGAGAUAGGUCAAAUUCUGUUUUGUUUUUGCAUCAGUCUCCAUAUAUAUCCAAAGUACUGAAGAAAUUUAAUAUGAGUGACUGCAAACCUAUCACGUUGCCUCUUGCUAAUCAUUUUGUUUUAUCGAAGGAACAAUCUCCUUGCAAUGAGCGUGAAAUUGAAUACAUGAGCAGAGUACCUUACUCUAAUGUGAUUGGUUCCAUAAUGUAUUUGAUGGUUUACACUAGACCUGAUUUAGGUUUCGCUGUUAGUACUCUCAGUAGAUAUGUGGCUAAUCCAGGCCCUGACUAUUGGGAAGCGCUAAAGUGGCUGUUAAAGUACUUGAAGGGUACUAGUAACGUAGGCUUAAAGUUUAGUGCUAAUAAAGAAGGUAUAAAAUUAAAGGGUUUUGUAGAUGCUGACUAUGCGGGAGAUAGGGAUGGUAGGAAAUCUACUUCAUCUUACGUGUUUGCCUUAUCUAAUUCAUGUGUAAGUUGAAAAUCACAGUUACAACAUAUUGUUGCACUAUCCACUGCAGAAUCAGAAUAUAUUGCUACUACUGAAGCUAUUAAAGAAGUUCUAUAGCUUAGAGGUCUACUUCAUGAACUGUGUGUCUUAAAUGAUUAUGUGAUAGUGUAUUCUGAUAGUCAGUCAUCUAUACAUUUAUGUAAGAAUCCUGUUUUUCACGAGUGCACUAAACACAUUGAUGUUAGACUCCACUUCAUUAGAGAUAUAGUAUCUCAAGAGGUGGUAAGACUUGAGAAAGUCCAUACCCACUACAACCCAUCUGAUAUGGGGACGAAGGUACUACCACUGGCAAAGUUUAGGAGUUGCAAGGAACUUCUAAACAUUGGUACAGGUAAAUGAUUUCCAAUUUUAUUGGUUUUCUAUUAGAGGUGUCACUAAUGGGAGACAAUUUUCUUUUACAGGUCCUUUGACACCAAGGUGGAGGUUGUUAGGCAAUUUGUUGUCAAACGACCUCCCCGGGCGAUGAUGUAACCUUGAUUUUAUUAUCAAUCGGCUUUGGCCAUAUGAUUGACUAGUACAUCGACACAAUUAUCGAGACAACACAAUCCACAUUUUUAUGGACCGUUCAAAGCAACCUAUUUUAAAUAGUGUUGCUCACGGUUCGCCCCAUUUCCUUGGAAGGCUGUAUUAUUAUUUUUGAAGCGCAUUUUAAUUGAGUCGAGCCUUGUUUUGGUCCACAAUUUAACCCUAACCUAACUUACCUAUUUUGGACAUUUACUUCGCAUAUAAUCCCACCUUCCUCUCGGCCUCCAUGGUGUGUGCCGAUUUUUCCCUUCUAUUUGUGAGACUCUCUUCUCGGCUUCUUGCUUUACUUCACUGUGACCUUUGUGGUUAAUUCUUUGUGGACACAUCAUUGGACUUCACUUUCCAACCUAUAGCAACCGGAUUGGGGUGGUGGCGGUGGUGGUUCUUGGAAUUGUCUCAACCUUUGUGGUGUCAAUGAAUUGGUAAACUGAGCCCGAUUUUGUAGUUGGAGUUCGGUGGAAAUCAACCCUACACAAACAACGUCCAAACACUUGCUAGUCCUUCCUCAUCUGAUGAUUUCACUCGUAAAAUGUCUGGUAUGUCUCUAUGCUUAACUGUAUUUCAUCGUAGGUAGGGAAAUAUUUAUGAAAUUCCAUAGAUUCUUGACACAGGAGCAACAGAUCACAUGAUCUGCUCCACUAUUCUUUUUACAUCUAUUCAAGCUAAUGUGUGCUAUUUUGUGGUCUUACUAAACGGAGAAAACUUCCCUGUCACUCAUGUAGGAACUGUCAAAAUCUCAGAAGUAAUUACCUUACAUAAUAUCCUAAGCAUUCCUAGUUUUCACUUUUAAUUUAAUUUCAGUAAAGAAGCUUCUCAAUCUCUAAACUGCUGUCUUGUCUUCUUCUCUAAUCACUGUUAUAUUCAGGACCUUUCGACUUGGAAAAAAACUGGAAUGGGUGAAGUGAAAGAUGGAUUGUAUCAUAUGGUACGAAAGGAAGUCUCCCAUUCAGCUUUAUUGAAUGCUUGCAAACAAUUCAAGCGUUUGCCCUCUUUUUUCCCGUCUGCCACCAAUAAUCACAAAGAAUCCGAUCUAUGGCAUUACAGAUUGGGGCACUCUUCAUAUUCUGAAUUUAGAUCUGAUGGGAACAUCCACAUACCUACUUCUUCUAGCAUAUAUCAUUGCGUCAUUUGUCCUCUAGCAAAACAACAUAGACUGCCUUUUAAUGUAAGCCAUCACAAAAUAAAAAAAUGCUUUGAACUAAUACAUUGUGACAUAUGGGGGCCUUGUAAUGAAUUCAGCAGAGAUGGUUCUAAGUAUUUUCUAUCUAUUGUUGAUGAUUUUAGCAGAUGCACAUGGAUCUAUAUGUUAAGACUCAAAUCCGAUGAUAUCGUUGCUUUACAAAACUUUUAUGCCAUGAUAGAAAGUCAAUUUGAAGCUAUGAUUAAAAUCGUCCGAAUAGAUAAUUGAGGUGAAUUUAACAUGACUGAAUUUUACUUAAAGAAGGGGAUAAUGCACCAAAGAACAUGUGUUGAAACCCCUGAACAAAAUGCCAUUGUGGAAAGAAAGCACCAACACAUCUUAAACGUAGCAAGAGCUUUGAAAUUCCAAAGUGUUUGAAAUAUAGGAAUGAUUUCAUGUUGACGGCUGUAUACCUCAUAAACAAAACACCAUCUCCCCACCUGAACAACAAAAGCCCUUUUGAGAUACUAUUUCAAACCAAACCAAACCACAGUCACUUAAAAGUUUUUGGGUGCCUAGCUUUUGCCACCACUCUUAUCAAUGGUAGGCACAAGUUUGAUCCUAGGUCAAGGAGAUGUGUGUUCAUUGGUUAUCCUUUUGGUACUAAGGGAUACAGAUUACUUGAUUUAAAGAUAAUGAAAAUUUUCACUUCAAGGAAUGUUACCUUCCAUGAGGACAUUUUUCCAUUUAAAGAAAUUGAUCUCAAUAGCAAUACCUCCAUGACUAACUUUGAUCACCUUAGUUUCACACAAAAUCUUAACGUUUCUAAUGACCCUGCUAUCAUCCCACUUGUUAGUACUAAUAAUGAAAAUACUAAACAUAACAUUUCAAAUAGUCCGACUCAUAUAGAAUCCCCUAAUUUUCAUGUGAACACCAGUCAUGACAUAUCACAGUCUCCUGCUGACACUUUGGAAUCAAAUCCCCUUGCUAUCACUCAUUUACCUCACAGAUCUAACAGAAUUUGAAGGACUCCUCAUCACUUGCAAGAUUUCAUAUGUCAACAAGUAUCUUCACCUCUUCCAUUCUAGAAACUCAACAAGGAAAAGGAAGUGAAUGUUACAGGUAGUCCCUAUCCUCUUAGUAAUAGUCUUUCCUAUGAUAAAUUAUCUAUCCGUCACCACACUUUUGCAGUUUCAAUAACAAACCACUUUGAGCCUAAAACCUAUCAAGAAGCCAUAAAUUCACCUGAGUGGUGUGAUGCCAUGAAAGCUGAGAUCAAGGCUUUAGAACUUAAUGAUACUUAGGUCUUAACCAAUCUACCACCUGAUAAAGAGGCCAUAGGUUGUAAGUGGGUAUAUAUGGUUAAAUUCAAUGCCAAUGGUAGUGUUGAAAGAUUCAAGGCUCGCUUAGUGGCAAAGGGGUACACUCAACAAGAGGGACUUGACUAUCAUGAAACAUUUCCCCCUGUGGCUAAAUUGGUCACCAUCUGAACUUUACUGGCAAUAGUAGCAAUUAAGGGGUGGAAUUUGUGUCAAUUUGAUGUAAAUAACGCUCUUCUACAUGGUGACUUGGAUGAAGACGUUUACAUGCAACUGCCCCUUGGUUAUCCCAAUGUAAGUGGUAAUAAAGUUUGCAAAUUAUGCAAGAGUUUGUAUGGAUUGAAGCAAGCCUCGCGUCAAUGGUACUCUAAACUUUCCAAUUUCAUUAUUAAGCAAGGAUACACUCAAUCAAGAUGAGAUUAUAGCUUAUUUACUAAGUCUAUUGAUGGUUCUUUCACAGCUAUUAUAGUUUAUGUGGAUGAUAUAAUAAUGGCAGGAAAUUGUAUUGAUACCAUCAAUAAGCUUAAAGCUUCUCUCAAUGACAAGUAAAAAAUUAACGACUUGGGCAAGUUGAAAUAUUUUCUAGGCAUCAAAGUCCCAAGGUCUGAAUGCAGCAUUCACAUAUGUCAAAGGAAAUAUGCUUUGGAUAUCUUGCCAGAUUCAGGCACUAUAGGAUCAGCCCCUACUAGGAUUCCCCUUGAUUAGAAUCUGAAGCUUAGUAAGGAUGAGGUAGAAUUAAUUGUAGACCAAUCAAUUUACAGAAGGCUAUUGUACUUGAUAAUCACUAGGCCUGAUCUUGCAUAAUCAAUUAAGUUGUUAAGUCAGUUUAUGAGCUGUCCCAGGGUGCUACAUUUACAUGCUGCACAUAAAGUAUUGCGGUACAUCAAAAGGGUACCUGGACAAGGGUUAUUUUACCCUACAAAAUCAAGGCUUCAACUAGAGGGCUAUUGCAAUUUUGAGUGGGGAGCAUGCCUAGACACUAGGAGGUCAGUAUUAAGUUAUUGUGUUUUCAUUGGGACAACCUUAAUAUCAUGAAAAUUGAAGAAACAACAUGUGGUGUCUCGAUCUUCCACUAAAGCAGAAUACUGAACAAUGGCAAACCUGUGUUGUGAAUUGACUUGGCUUAGGCAUUUGUUUAAGGAACUAUAGAUUGCACACCCUCAAGCUGCAGUCCUAAAUUGUGAUAAUCGAGCUGCAAUCCAUAUAGCUACAAAUUUGGUAUUUCACGAAAGAACCAAACACAUUGAGCUCGACUGCCAUUUGGUUCAUGACAAGAUAUAAGACGGAAUCAUCAUCACCCAACAUGUUCACAGUGCGUCACAAAUUGCUGACAUUCUAACCAAGGCUCUAACUUUCCAAUGUUUUUAUUCUUGCUUGUCCAAGAUGGGAGUAAUGGAUAUUUACUCUCCAUCUUGCGAGGGGCUAUUGAAAAUAGAAUAUUUGAGUCAACUGUCACUAACUCAAAUAAGUUGGUAAUGGCAGGCAAGAAGCAAGAGUUAUGUUAUAUGUACAAAGUUGGUUGACAAAGUAAUAUCUACUUCAAUCAUUUGAAAAAUAGAUUUUUAAAUCAUUGAAAAUCAAUGACGUGAAUUCUGCCAACACUUAUUUGUCAACCAAAUUUGUCUACACUCUUUGUACAUAGCAUAAUACAAGAAGCAAGACACAAAUAGGGUCGAUGUUUGAGAAGAAUUGUUCAUUAAGUAGGGAUAAAAGGUCUGAUAAGGCUGCAAGUAGAUUUGAAGUAAUAAUGUCUUCAAUAAUGCAAGCGGAUAAUUGCAUUAUGUUUGCAAAAUAAAUGCUAUCAUUCUAGGAUCCACAUAUUCUUCAUUUUGGAUCAAAAAUUAAGUUCCAAAAAAUUUUCAAGCAACAUAACAUUAACAAAGAUAAUUAAAUACACUACUACAAAUGUUGUCUAUGCAUUUCCAUAAUUUGAAAUCACUGUAUAAUUGCAUUGUUAUCAAUAUUGCAAAUAUAGCAUCCUCAAUGUACAAAACUGACUAUCAUUCAAUAGUCGAAUAUCCAAUUCAGUUGCAUGGUCCAAAUCGUGGUUGAGGUCUUGAGGAGUAUGGUGUUGACAUGGAGAAAAAAUGUGGUUGGUCGUCAGCAUCGAUGUGGAUGAUCUAGGUAGGAAAAUGCAAUUAUAUGGUAAAAAUGGCAAAUCUAGGCAUUGGGGGAAGAAUGAGAUUUAAGGCUUAAAAGAAGUUGGGAGGCAGAAAGUGGAUAAAAAAAUAAAAAAAUAAAAAAAAACCGUUCAAAUGGUAGAAAAGUGAAAAAAAAAAACUAAAAUUAAAAAAGAAAAUUCCAAAAUUUUCGUGGGCUGAGCAAACCCCAUAUGACCCCAUGUGACUCCAAUUCGUAAUGCGUUAAUUGACUUGUUAUACGAAAAACAUUAGAUCACGUUUUUUAAGUUGUUUGGGACAAAAAUCUUCAGCGUCUCUUUUUGAGCCCUUUAUAAAUAUGUCCACUUCAACAUAUAAAAUAAGUGUUGUACCAUGGAAAAAAAUAUUAUACAUCAUUCUUCUUUACUUCUGUAAGUUUUAUCUGUAAUUCAUGAGAAUAUUUCGAAUGAUCGAUAUAUUUCAAGAGUAUUUUAGAAAUAUCUCUCUAGAUGUAUUGUACAACAAAAAUCUUAGUAUCUUGUGGCUAGGCAUGUGCACACAACAAUAAUUCCCAAACAAAGAGAAAUGAAAAAAGUUGAUCAAUUAAUAAAGUUUAAUUUAUAUUUUUCUUUUUUAGCUGUUUUGCAUUUUGUGUUUUCACUCCAUGGAUGAGAUUUUUUCAAUAAAAGUAUCACUGCAAAAAUUUAUAUGUGAGAAAAAAGAAGUAUAAAUCGAUAAAUAUAUAAGUGACCCCAACGAAACAAGAUAAAGCAUAUAGACAAAGAAGGAACACCGUAUUAUAAUUAAAUGACAUUAUUUGAAUAUGAACAAUUUGAUUUUAUUAAUAAAGAUGAAUUAUGUGUGACAAAUGUUAUUAAUCAUUACGAGGAAAUGAUACUUGUACAAAUGAUCCUUUAAGAGGAUAAGUUUAUUUUUAUUAAAGUAUAUAUACAAUUAAUUGCAAGAUGGAUGGAAGCCAUCGAAAAUGACCUUUUUAUUUUCACACAACAUCAAUAUGUUGAGGGGGUCAACGCAACGAUCGUAACAUUAGGGACCAUUUCCACACAAGGGCCUUACAUUAAGGACCAUCUAUACCAAUUUCCUUGUUAAUUAAUGCUCCACCUUUGUGUUCGCUUGAAUUUAAAAAAAAAAGUUUUAUUGGCACAAUUCCCUCAACGAAUGGAUCUAUUGCCAAAUAUUCUUACCUUUUUAAAUUGGUGGAAACCCCCGUAUGAACUUUGAAGUGAGGAAUCCAUUUUCUUUCAUUUUCUCAUAAAUCCUUGUGAAAUGACGAUUUGAGGAAAAAAAUAGUAGAGCCGACAAUUUGGUAUGUUAAAUUAGAUGUAAUAUGCUAUGAAUAAGGGCAGUGAACAAAAGUACUAUAAUUUCAAAAAUGUGGAGAAACACAAGUAUAUGGUUUGUGAUCUGAAAUAAAGGUAUAUUAUGCACAUAAAACUUGCAAAGAUUCCAGUCAACAACACAGAUGAGUGGAGGCAUGACGAUAUUGCUAGAAUAUGACCCAAAUUUCUAUUGGGAUUAGGAUAGGGUUGGUAAAUUGAUAAAAGGAAUAAGAGUCUUCUUGGUUUGGAAGUUCGAUUGAAAAAGAGAAUGAAAGUUCAUCAAUGGAUGGAAAUUUGAUUGGUAAAGGAACUUUGGAAAAUUGAAGACUUGGUUUUGAAAUUUUGGUGCAUAAAAAAUCGUCGCAAUUUCGCUAACUGACAGCUAACUUUGGUGUUCAAGCGUUAGAGGUGAAAAAUGGAGCAGAGUUGCUGCCUGCCUAGCGUCGCCUAGAACUGAAGUGACAGUGUUAUUCGGAUGGGAAACCUUUUUCGAUCCUAACUACUUUAUUGAGUCGUAUUUGUUGGAAAAUAAGCGGUUGGAGAAGAAAUAACAACAAAAUUAUAGAAACAAAAUGAAUAGAAACCACGAAAUACGUCAAGAAUGAAUUUGAGACUUGAACACGGGAUCAUUAUCCUCAAACUAUAUUUGCUCCCUCUCAGGAUUGAAUGAGAUACUUAAGGGUUGGGUUUUGGCAAACAGUUUGUAGGAUUAUAUUAAGCUUUGUAAAGGUUUUAACACCAAAGCACAAAUGCAAUCCUCCAAAACUUUAAGAACACAAAGGAAGAUCUUGAAUAUGAAUGUAAAUCAAUAGUGUGAUUCAAUAUGAAAUGAUAUAUGGAUCUCAAGAUAUUUUCAAUGAUUCUAAUAAUGUUUGUAUUGAUCAGUCAUCACCUAUUUAUAGGUCUCAAUCAAUGCAUCAUGAAAUGGUGCAAAAACAAGAUGAAAAGUGGCAACUUUUAGUCCAAAACGGCUCCCAAGUUUUAAAUUGAAAAAUUAGUCAACGACUAUUUUUUAAUACUAUGCGUACGCAUCGUAUAAACCGUGCGUACGCAUAGUAGAAGCAAAAUUUAAUUCUGAUUUUUGCUAAAAUACAUCUCGUGUACGCACAAAAUUACGCAUAGGCAAAAAAUCAAAUUUUGCAUUUUUCAAUUUCUUUUAAUUCUACCAAUUCCACAAUUGAGCCCAACAAUAAGUCAAUUAUCAUUCCAUUGAUUUUGAACAAAUUUUCAACAGUAUUUCAUCGAAAAUACUUGUAAUGGAUUCUCUCUCUCUAUAUAUAUAUAUAUUCCUCGUGGUAUAGGCUCUUAAAAGGAUAAAUUAACAAUAAAAUCAUAGUUAUUUAAAUUUAGAUUGAGAGUAUCAAAUCUUGUAAAACAAUUUUAGCUUCUUGAUAUAUUUAAAUUCUUCAACUCUUUCAUAUAAAUCUUGUAUUCUUGUGUGAUCCAUUAUUUUUCAUAUUGCUCUAAUUUUCUCAUCUUUAUUAUUUGGCCCAAUUUAUCUUUACAAUUCCAUAUGAUUCAUCAAGAGCUAUACAAAUUGAGUUUUGAUGAGAAAAAAUACUGAUACAUGCUUGAACGGAAAAAUAAAAUUAUUCGAAAAUAUAUUGUCCAUUGCAUGCUGUUGAAUUUUCUGAAAAAUCUUUUUCUUGUUGGAACCAGAAUCUAAAACUAUGGUUUCUAUAAUCCUCUUGGCCGCAUUGUUAAUUUGGGGCAUCUUCAUCUCUGUUACUCUGGGACGUAUAGUCGGGCCAGUUGGCGACCCAUUACGACUGUUAUGUCCAACUGGCAAACUGCUAAUAGAUCGCGUAAUUAUGCGUCAGGUGUGCAUGUCCAUUUUUUGGUUCUUUGGUUCAAAAAUCUCCGUCGAAGUUGUAUCUUCACGAUUCGUCUGCUGCUUGGAGGAACUCUUUCGUGGUUGGCAAUUCGCUGUUUCUAUAACAGCUUGUUUACAGCUCCUGCUAUAGUGAAUAGUCGACGGAGCUGUAGAUCUAAGAAUAGGAAGGUGAAGGUAAACACUUCAGAAGAUCUUUUUAUAGAGAUUCAUAGGCACAAAAUGAUUUGUCAAGGCAAGAUUUCAGUGGAUAUUUUGUCAUAAAUACGAAUUUGGAGAUAACAGUAUUCUGGAUGUAAUAUCUUCAGUUACAACGAUUUGGGAGGGUAUUGAAAGAGAGAAUUAUCGAUAUAAUUUAGGGUUUUUAUUAUGAGCAAUAGAUCAUGAUUUGGGAGCGGAUGAAUGGAGACGAAGGGACGAGGUACGAGAGAAAUCUGAUUUGGGAAAGAAUUGAUAUAGAGUAAAUUAUAGAUGAAUUUUGGAUUUGAUAAACUUCAUGAUGAUUUAAUUGUUGAUAAAGUAAGACCUGCUAAAUAAUUGCAUGAUAACAAGGAGUACAACACCAACCAGGUAUAUCUCAAGUGCAUGUUUCAUUGAUGCAUCUUCUUCUAUCAAUGUCAAAAAUGAGUGGAAUAUUGUAAAUGUCAUCAAAGAUUCUUCUGCAGAUUAAAAGGGCCAAAAAGUUUCAUUCCAAGAUAGAACUUCUGACAUUGGAUUCCAUGAACAUUAGCUCAUCUUUAUUAGGAGUGAUAGAAGCUCGCUCUAAUACCAACUGAUGUAGGAAAAAGCAUAAAAAUAAUGAAACGAACAUGCUAUCGAAGUUUUUUUAUUCUAAUUUUUGUUGAUUCCCAAAAUUACCAGAAAUAUAGGUAUCAAAUAGCAAGAUUAAACGAUUCGACAGCUCCAAAAUCUAUAAUAUUUAUUACAAAAUAACUAAUUAUCAUAAUAGCUUACAACCCUUAUUUAAAGAAAUAACUAAAAUCUAGAUAAUUACUAAAAUCUAGAUAGUUAUUAAAUGUAAAAGAUAAUGACAAAAAGUAAAAACCCUUCAGAAUUAAUAAGAAAUAAACGAAAUUAAAAUUGAAUUUAUUUAAUAAAAUAAAUAAUAAAAAACUCAAUUUUCUUCAAAUGGGUUCAAAUAAUAAUGCCAAGAUGCGAUCUUUAGUUUCAUGAUUUUGAAUGCCAUGUCCAUUGACGCCGGGUAGGAUAGUGAUUAUCCUAUUGUCUUGUUGUAGCAGAUGAUUCACAAGAAAAGAACGACAGAAAACGCCCAAAAAAAACCAAAGAAAAUACUCUGAAUUCAAUUCAACAUUAUUAAUAAUGCAGAAUGAUUAAAAUUAACCCACAAGCCGACUUAAAUAGCUGCGAAAUACGAAAUUAUGGGGAAAUUACCAAAAAUGGCAAAAUCCCGAAAUUAUACCAAAAUAAAAUAUUAAGUAAAAGAAGUAAGUUACCAAAAAUUUGGCUCAAUUCGAGUUUUCUAACAUAUGGAAAAAAGGAAACGAAAUAUUACCAUAAAUAGUAAAAAAUAACUUAAAAUUGAAUUUUGGAAAGGAAAACAGUGGAUUUUGGGCUUGAAAUUGAUGUUUAUCGAGCACGGCUGGGUGGCCACGACGUGUGCGCCGAAGAGAGCUUUCCAGAUUGGGGUCAUAAUAGCGAUUCCGAUAACCGUAGUCAAAGUUAUGGUCAAAUUACCAAAAACGCGUCAAAUUUCCCCAAUUAAGGAAAUAAUGGCGAUUCACUUUCCAUCUUUGCAUCGAUCCGCCAUCUCAUAGUAUCUCAGUGCCAUCAUCAUGCUAUCUGACGAAUCAGCAUCACUUGACUCGGAUCCUCCUGCAUCAGUCGCCCUGGGUUGGAAAGAACUCGCCCUCGAGUUCACAUUAACUUCAUCGGACUUCACAAAACAAGGGAUUAGGUGUUUUACAUUGAAGACGUCAGAGGUCUUCAAAUAGCUAGGGAGGCGCAACCUGUAAGCAUUAUCAUUGAUCUUCUGCAGCACUUCACAAGGUCCAAUCUUCUGCUCCUUUAGCUUAUUGUAUUCCCCAGCUGGAAAACAAUUAUUAGUUAAUACUGCCCAAACAAAAUCACCAACAUCAAACAACACCAGGCGUUGAUGACUAUUUGCCCAAACUUUGUACUUAGUAUUACUAUCCUGUAUGGACAGCUUCACAUGCUCAUGGAUACCUUGAAGAUGUUUAGCCAUCUCAUCAGCUUUGUUAUUGAAGUGACCCACACGUGGAAUUGGAGCCAAAUCAAGUACUCCAGAUGGGUUCUGACCAUAGACAAUUUCAAAAGGACUCAGCCGGUGGUUCUAUUCCUUAACCGGUUAUAAGCAAACUCUUCUUGAGGUAAUGCCAAAUCCCACAGCUUCGGUUUAGUCCCGGCUAAGCUUCUCAAAAUAUUUCCCAAACUUCGAUUUACCACCUCAGUCUGACCAUCUGUUUGGGGGUGGUAUGCUCUGCUAAAAUUCAAUUUCGUUCCAAGUUUCUCCCACAAACUCCUCCAAAAAUGACUCAUAAACUUAGUGUCACGGUCAGAAGUAAUUGACUGUGGAACACCAUGUAAAUGCACAAUCUCUCUAAAAUAAAGAUGAACAAUCCGAGUAGCAUCCAUUGUCUUCCAGCAAGCCACAAAAUGAGCCAUCUUUGAGAAUCUGUCAACCACCACAAGAAUGGAAUCCAUCACCCGUUGUGUAUGAGGUAAGCCCAAGAUAAAAUCUAUACUGACAUCAAACCAAGGAGCUUUAGGUACGGGUAAUGGUGUGUACGAUCCAGCAUUAGUAAGAGCCCUUUUAGACCGCUGACAUACAUAACAUCGCUCCACAUAAUGCGCCACAUCACUGCUCAACUUGGGCCAGUAAUAAUCAGAAGAGACCAAUACCAAUGUCUUGUCUCGCCCAAAAUGUCCUUCGUUAUGAAGUUAACUAAUAAUCUGCUACCUUAGUGAACAAUCCGGAAUGCAUAACUGCAAUCCACGAAAUAGGUAACCAUUAUGUAAAAUAAAAUCAUGUCGGUGAUUAUCAAUUACCUCCCGAAUUAUCUUCCCAAAUGAAGGAUCUGCAGCAUACAUAUCAGGAAAUGCCUCAAAUCCGACAAUCUUGGUGCUCAUGGUGAGGAGUAAUGUGCGACGGCUCAAUGCAUCUGUUACUCGAUUCAAACUCCCUGCUUGAUGCCUGAGUGUGAAAGUAAACUCCUGUAAGUAGGCUACCCACUUUGCAUGUCGCCAACUUAGCUUGUGCUGACCAUUAAUGUACUUCAAAGCCUCAUGAUUAGUAAAAAGAAUGAACUCCCUCUGUACCAGGUAAUGGUGCCAAUGCUUCAGAGUCUGAACUAUGGCAUAGAACUCCAGGUCAUAAGUGGAAUAAUUUUUCUUCGAUCCCAAUAGCUUCUCACUAAAAAAGGCUACUGGACGUCCCUCCUGACUUAGAACACCACCAAUACCAACUCCAGACGCAUCACAGUUUACCUCUAACACCUUUUCAAAAUUCGAAAGUACCAAGACUGGGGCCUCCGUCAUCUUCUGCUUAACCAACUGAAAGCUAGCCUCUAUCUCCUCAGUCCACUGAAAAUCACGCCCUUUAAGGCACUCUGUGAUAGGAGCAAUCAAGGUACUGAAGUUUCUGAUGAAUCGACAAUAGAAGGAUGCCAAUCCAUGGAAACUUUUGACAUCGUACAAAGUUUUUGGUUUCGGCCAAUUCAAAACUACCUCAAUUUUGGAUUGAUCUACAUGAACACCAUCAGUAGACACAACAAAACCCAAAAAAGUUACAGAAGUUGUGAAGAAAGAACACUUAUUCUGAUUGAUGAAUAAGCGCUCCGUCCUCAUUACAUCAAAGACAGCACGAAGAUGAUUAAAAUGUGACUCCCAUGUCAGACUAUAAAUAAGUAUGUCAUCAAAAUAAACUACCACAAACUUUCCCAUGAAAGGCCGUAAAACCUGAUGCAUAAACCUCAUAAAAGUGCUGGGUGCGUUGGAUAGUCCAAAGGGCAUGACCAUCCACUCGUACAACCCAUGUUGUGUCUUGAACGCAGUCUUCCACUCAUCUCUAGGCCUGAUUCUGAUAUAGUGGUAUCCAAUUUUAAGGUCCAUUUUUGAGAAGACCUUAGAAUCGGAUAGUUGAUCCAACAUGUCGUCCAGACGGGGAAUUGGAAACCUGUACUUCACUGUAAUCCUGUUAAUUGCCCUGCUAUCAACACACAUACGCCAUUACCCAUCUUUCUUCGGCACUAGUAGAGCAGGAACUGCACAAGGACUCAUACUCUCACGAAUGUAGCCCCUUUCCAAUAAUUCUACCACCUGUCGCUGCAACUCUUCAGCUUCCUUGGGACUGAGGCGAUAUUCUGGUCGGUUUGGUAGACUCGACCCUGGAAUGAGGUCAAUAUGAUGUUGAAUGUCCCUCAUAGGUGGUAGUCCUGGAGGAAGAUCCUCCGGCAUCAAGUCAGAAAACUCCAUCAGUAGUUGCUGCGCUUCUGCUGGAAAUUCUGAAUCCACAUUCGUUGUACUAUUUUCAUGAGGCAUUAAAGCAUAAACUAUAUUUUCACGCCCAACCUCAACCAAGAACCUAGACAUAGAAAGUAGAUUGGGGUUAUUAACUACCAGGACAGGGAUGUUUCCUUCCCUACGAGGCACCAAAACAAUUCUCUUCCCUUUGAUGCUAAGAGAAUUAGUAUUCUUCCGCCCAUCAUGGAUAACACUGCGAUCAUACUACCAAGGUCGUCCCAACAAAACAUGAAACGCAUCCAUUGAUACCACAUCACACCAAGCAUUAUCAAAAUAUUUUUUUCCAAUCGAGAAAGACACUAAGCAUUGUUUUUCUACCGUUACCUCACUGCCUUUAUUCAACUAAGACAACUUGUAUGGUUUGGGAUGACGAUCCAUCUUUAGUUGCAGUUUCUUGAUAGCCUCCUCAGACACUAUAUUCUCACAACUGCCACUAUCAAUUAUCAACUACAGACUUUAUCAGUAACUGUGCAGGUUGUGUGGAAAACGUUGGUCCUCAACCAAUCAUCCCCUGAGUCGUCCUUGGGAGUCGGCAGGCUCUUUCAAACGACCAGGGUCUCCUGACUAUCUCCAUAUAGCACGUCCUCAUCUUCACCCUCAUCAUACACGGGUUCCCCAACUUCCUCGAACUCCUCUAUCAUAUCCUCCUCAAUCAGAAGAUUUUUAUUCUUCUGACUUGCAGGCUUCCUGCAAUCAGUCGCCCUAUGCCCCUGUUCACCACACCUAAAGCACGUAAUACUUGAGCUGGAACUAUUUCGCUGUGGCUGAUAAGCAAGACGAGAUUCUUGAGGGCGAACUGGCUAACUUCCUUCACCUCUGACUACUGGCCUCCUACUCUGCUGUUUCUCUACUGUAAGUACUCGCUGAUAUGCCUCAGAAAUUGUCCACAAUGAAUGAAGGCUGAGAACAUCCUGCAAGGGCUGCCUUAAUCCCCCCAAAUACCGUGCUACCAUCUGCUCCUUUGUCUCAGAUAAAUUAUUCUGAGCCACCAACUGAUAGAAUUCUUCAGUAUAAUCAUUGACUGAUCUUGCGCCUUGCCUUAGUGAAUGAAGCCUCUGAAACAAGGUUUGAGUAUAGCCAAAAGGAAGGAAGUGCCCUUUCAUCUUCUUCUUCAUCUUCUCCCAGUUAGUAAUUUUGGAUUUUCCCUAUCGCUUCCGCGAACACUUCAAUUGUUCCCACCAUGCAGAUGCCCUACCUUUGAGUUUGAUGGCGACCAAUUUCACUUUGACACGAUCUGGAACCUCCUUAUAUUCAAAAAUCCGCUCCACUUCAUUCAGCCAAUCAAUAAAUCCUUCAGCCUGCAACGUACCAGAAAACUCGGGCAGAUCCACUCUGAAACCGAGAUCCACAUGACGAUCCUCCCAUCUACGAUGCUCCCAAACUCGAGCAUGAUGGUGAUACGGGUUUUCGAAACUGGUAUCGAAAUCGUGACCUUCCACAUCAUGAUUACUGAACUCAUACUCCACCAAACAUUGGGUUAACUUCGAAACUUGUCUCUACAAAUCUUCAAUCAUCACAUCCUGAAUAUUACGAACACGGAGCGGGACUUCCUCAAUUGGAACCUGUCCUCGACGACCACAACCACGUCCACCAACCAUUAUAACUGAUGGAAUUUAUCUCCCAAGAAGAUGCUGACGCUCUGAUACCAACUGACGCCGGGUAGGAUAGUGAUUAUCCUAUUGGCUUGUUGUAGCAGAUGAUUCGCAAGAAAAGAACGACAGAAAAUGCCCAAAAAAACCAGAGAAAAUACUCUGAAUUCAAUUCAAUAUUAGUAAUAAUGCAGAAUGAUCAAAAUUAACCCACAAGCCGAGUUAAAUAGCUGCGAAAUACGAAAUUAUGGGGAAAUUACCAAAAAUGGAAAAAUCCCGAAAUUAUACCAAAAUAAAAUAUUAAGUAAAAGAAGUAAGUUGCCAAAAAUUUGGCUCAAUUCAAGUUUUUUUAACAUAUGGAAAAAAGGAAACGAAAUAUUACCAUAAAUAGUAAAAAAUAACUUAAAAUUGAAUUUUCGAAAGGAAAACAGUGGAUUUUGGGCUUGAAAUUGACGUUCACCGAGCACAACUGGGUGGCCAUGACGUGCGCGCCAAAGAGAGCUUUCCGGAUUGGGGUCAUAAUAGCGAUUCCAAUAACCGUAGCCAAAGUUAUGACCAAAUUACCAAAGACGCGUCAAAUUCCCCCAAUUAAGGAAAUAAUGGCGAUUCACUUUCCAUCUUUGCGACGAUCCGCCAUCUCAUGGUAUCUCAGCGCCAUCAUCGUGCUAUCUGACAAAUCAACAUCACUCGACUCGGAUCCUCCUGCAUCAUCCAUCCCCAUACUGGUACAUGUAUUGUGCCAUUCUCGCAAGAUUCACUGCAAUUUCAAUAAAAAAAAAUUUGAGAAUGGACAAACUGUUUCUUGAACUUGGUUCAUUUUUUUCCACGUCUCAUGUAUCAAAGAUCUAAUGUGUUCACGUGCCUCAUCUUCAGAAGCCCCAGUUUCGUUCAUGUAACAUUGUAUUGUUUUAGGAACAUCACCUCUUUUCAUUUCGUCCUGAGAGAGAAAACGAAAGAAACUGUUAGUUGAAAGGGUUAAUUUUGAAUUGCUAAUGAUUUCUUAAACAAAAAUGAACUUGAAAACAUGAAAUGAAAUUUUAGUCUAUAUGCGCACCAUUGAUGUUGCUAAAUCAUCUGAAAGACGUAAAAUCGUUGCCGACCAACGGAUUAUAUUAGGAUAAUCAAGUAAGUACUGAACAGCUUCCUUUUCUAUAGGACUGGUAACAGCGAAAAACGCAUGGGAUAGUAUGACAUGAGUUGAUAUGGAAAUCCAUGCAGUGUUCAUAUACUCUUCCAUUGUUGGUUUGUAUCCAUUGAAGUACCACCUUGCUUCUUGUAAGUAUGCUUUGCAUAAAUCUUUCCACUCCCAAAUUUGACAAGAUUACUGUAUACGGAUUAAAUAUGGAAGCUGAUACAAGGAUUAUGUAUUGGACUUUUUGAAGCAAAAGUAAUACCGCUUUUCUUAAAUAUGGAAUAAUUAUAAGCCCUUUUUCUUUAAGAAUGUCGUAAGCCAUUUCGUUGAUGAAGUUAUUGAGUGCUAAAUAGCAAAUUUGCAUGUAAUCUGGAAGUUGAUGGAUUGAACUGACAUCCCAUCUGUAGAGUUCCAAACAAAUAAUAAUUAUAGGAGUUAGAACGGUGAGAAGGGGAAAAAAAUCAAUAUAUAUCACACAUGGGUAAACUUUAAUAUAAACUACCAAUCUAAUUUUCCAAAAUUUGGUCCUCAACUUUUAAAGAAAAGAAAGUUCGCACCUUACAUUUUAUUAUUGUUUCGCAACUGGUCGCCCACUAAUGAAAACCAUAAUUUUCAUAAAUUAUCGUGUGGCCCUCAUAAAAACAUGCAUCGCUUUAAAUAUCAACGUACCAAUCCAAGUUAGAAAACAAAACCUAAUUUCAUGAAGUUGAUUAUGCAAGGACCACAUUUUGAUUAAUUUAAAAUAGAUUUGAACUGUUUCUUGAGAUAUAAUCUUGCAACUAUAUAUAAAAUUAAUAACCAGCUUGUCCAUUUUUAAAGAUUGAAUAAGUCAAUCAUUCAAUUUUCCCUAUCAUAUAAACCUUUUAAUAUACAAAGUACUUCCGUAUUCACAAACUUUGAGUGUGUCCUUUAACAAAGGGACUUCGUUUUUAAUUUUUACUUUUUUAUUUGGGUGGGGGUUCUGAAAUGAGGAAUAACGAUGUUUCUAACCUUUCAAUGAUUCUUGUAAAAACUUCAAGCUCUUCUAAUGUACCAUAGACGUCAUAUAUAUCAUCAAUGGUUGUUACUAAAGCAUUGACCUUCGGCAAUAUCUUCCUACAAAAUUCAUAUUGAGGUUCAAAUAUCACCCCAGUAGUCCAAAAGAAACAUUCCACCAGCCUAUCCCUCGCAAAUGACAACUUUUCGGCAAGGCAAGUUCCCUUCCGCCACCUAUUCAUAGAAAACGCAGGGAAAGAAAUAAAAAUAAAAUUCCUUUGUUACUUCUAAACAUCAAAAUUCAAUAUAUUUGGCCCAUGUAUUUAAAAUGAGAAAAUAGAGAUAGAAAUGUGCACAAAUGUAUUAGUGUUGGAAUUAAUACACAUUUUCUCCAACCGUAAUAAAAGUAAAUAGUGCUAAAGUGAAAGGCAAAUUUGUUGAGGAGAGACUAUUUCCCUCCAUCAAAUUCCUUAUUGAGUUGUCUCUGAUUGAAGACAACUUGUGAUGUCGAUUUAUCUUUGAGUGAAUACAGCAUCUUAUCAAUAAAUACCUAGAGACAUAUUUUGCUUGAACAAUGUUGAAAUCCAAUUUAGCAAGCUCAAGCAGAAUCUGAUUCAUGUCUGGCCUGUCCUUGUAUAUGUUUAUGAACCAUCUAGCCUCUGCCCGCAGUAUGGUCCAGUGCAAUGGAAGCUCCAAGCCAUGGUGCACCAAUCGAGAAUGGCACUGAUCAAUACUAGUUUGAUCAUUAAGGUUUUUCAUAGAGAAUUCUGUAGCCAUUUCUAGGGUACUUUCAGCUUCCAUUGAAAGGAAUGAAGUUUCAUAUAGUUGUAACAAUCCCUCUGUAUCAUCCCAAAGCCUCGACUUGAACUCACCCUUCUCAUUCUUGAAACGAUCAAAUAUCUCUGUGUUCAACAGGACAUGUAUAAGACGCGUAAGCACAAAAAAUGAAUGAAAAUGAACAGAAGAAACUGAUUUGCACCUUCAGAAACUUUAAAGCCAUGUUGUCUUAGUAGUCUGAAUUCCAAAGCCGUAGCAUAUAAAUCCUCAAUCUUUGACUGUUGAUCAUUUUUGCUAUAUUUUUUGUUAAUGACUGACAAGAUUUGCUUAAUUUCAUUCUCAAAAUGGUAGGAUAUCCCCAGCCUUUGCAAAUUGUCAAUCAAUUCCAACUGAUCCAGUGGCUCUACUGUUUUAUCAAGCAUCAUCUUCACUUGCAUUUUCAGCUCAGAAGACCGUGUAGCGUAUCUCUCUCCCUAGAUCAUGCACGAACAAAAUCUGAUUGCAAGAAAAAAGGAAGAAUUUAUUUUUUAUGUAAAUGAUGAAAAUUACCGCGUAUUCAAUAUCUAAAGACCGAAUAUAUUCGAAGUCCCAUACUGGGGGUUUGUAGUUUCCUGAUCGCCUAAUCACAAUCUGACUGCAAGGCCGCAUCUUGGUUAUAAAACUAUGCUGAUUAGCAUUAGCAGCAGUACUUGUAAAUAAAGCAAAACAGUGUUUUGGAAUCUGUUUUUUUGAAGUGCAUAAAUUGGCUUGAAAAUGUUCAGGUUGAAGAUAGUCAUUGAUCUUUGAGACUUGUCUAAGUAGUUCAUAAAAUAUUAUAUUUGGUAUGGUGGGCAUGGCUUAUUUAUAUUGACUUACUUAAUUAUCUGGAACUCAAAUAGUAAUUAGAUGAGUUCAUCAAGUAUUGGCACCAACUCAAAUAAAGUAGCCAUAAAAAUAGCACCCGUUUGACCUCCAUUUUUCCAAAUUAAAAUGGAUGAAUAUAUAUAUAUAUAUAUAUAUAGAAGAUUAUGAAUUAUUUUAUUGAAAAAUAUUUGGUUGAAAUGAUGUCAAAUCACUGUUGAAAAAUGUAUUUUUUUAAAAAUAAUAUGGCUCAAACAAGCCCUUAAUAUGGGUCAAAUGGGGCUAAGUUGGUAAUAGCAGGCAAGUAGUAAUUAAGUAGGGACAAAAGGUCUGAUAAGGCUGCACGUAGAUUGGAAGUAAUAAUGCUUUCAAUAAUGCAAGCAAAUAAUUGCAUUAUGUUUGAAAAAUUAAUGACACGAUCUGUCCCGAAUCAUCAUAGUGGAUCCGAAACGUGACGUGCACCGAUGAUAGAUGCUGACUAGAUGUUAAAUCUAUCACCAAGACUGACUAUGAGUUAUUUCAAAAAAUGUAACAAAAUCAAAUGCUUAUGUAAAACAUAAUGCGAUGGGUCCAAAUUUUUUACUUUGUCCUUCAUCAAUAUGAAUUAUAACACUCAACAUGUCGUGUGGCUCUCAUUUUGAAAUCAUUAUGCUCUUCCAAUUCAAAUGAAUCAAUUGCUACCUGUAGGAAAAAUUACGAAAAAAUAUAUGAGUUGAUAGCUCAGUGGGUGGAGAAGUUCUAAAAUAAAUAUACUUUUUCAAUUUUACAUUUCUAUCGAAAAUCAAAUUCAUAUCAUUUGAUAAUUCAUAAGAUAACAUCAUGUAAUUAUAGCCAAGAAGUGAAAUAUUCACAUAAGAUUAUAAAAUAUCAUCUUAAAAUCAUGACAUAGACAUCAGCUGAUAACCAUGCUAUAAUCUCAUCACAUCAAAGAUGCUGAAAAAUUUACAAAAAAUGCACCCUCUGACUGAAAUAUGUAAUCCGCCCCUCAGGCUAAAAACUUUCGCUACGGGCCUUUGGCUACUCUGUGAACGAAAGUCGGUCUCAAAGACCUCUCAUAAUCAAUUCUAGAAUAUGGCCAAGGCCCCUCAGUGAACUAUAUGUACACGGUCGAGACCCCUUCAUCCCCCAUCCAAGACCCCUCGGUAUAGUAUAGAACACAACCAAGGCCCCUCAGUGAACUUAAAGAAAUAUAUAAUCACGGGUACUUUUCUGAUCGAUAUCAAAAUUAUAUCUCAUAUUCCAAUUCACAAUGUAACGUAUACAAUCUUUGAAAUCCCACAUGUAUCAUAAUAAAAGAUAUUUCCAUAAUAACCAUGUAAUUCGAACACAUAAUUGCAUAUAAUUGCUAAUACUUUAACAAUAAACGUAAUUUAUAAAUACUUUAAAAAUAUUUAUAUUUUUCCACUUACAGAACUAUGUUCGCAAAAUUAACUCGGUUUGUAAGCUAUCCCGAUGUCAAUAUCGGCGCCAGAAAUAUGAUAUAAUUUUUAAAUCAACAAUUAAUUAUUUUAAGAAAUUUCAAUAAUUAAAUAGGUAAUGCCCAAAUUUAAUCAUUUCACAUUUAAGCGAUUUACGCGGUCUCUUUAAUCACUAAAACAAUUUUUCUUUUAUCUUACUCAAUUUCAUAGUUUAUUACACUUAACCCCUUGAAAAAAAAAUUGAAUUUAAUCUAACAACUAUAAAAUCAAACAUAACUUGACAAUAAGUAACUUUUUACUUACCUUUCAAAAUUGAAGAAUUCAAGUCUAAUAACGUAGAUCACUUAUUUUCUAACAACAUAGACGAACUUUCAUAUUUUUUUUUCUUCUUUUUUCCUUUCUCUUUUCUCUUCCUUUUCUCUCUAGUUCGUUUUCUCUCUCUGUGUGUGUCUUUUUGUGUAAUGGAUUUGGAUUACACAUAUAUAUAAAUACAAUGGGAAUGGAUUUGUUUUGGGCAUAACCGCCUACAGUUUCCUUUUUAUGUUUUUUUUUUUCCCUUUUUUUUAGAAGUAUUAAAUUAAGGCAUUUCAAAUUUCACCCCAUAACUAUAAUUACAAUACAAGUCCCCAACCUUUAUAUAAUUUAACAUUUAGUCAUCUUAUUUACCAUACUAGAAGCUAAAUCCCAAAAUUUAUUUUUAUAUCAUUUCGCUCCCUCUUAAGUACUAGCAAUUUCAAAUUUAAACCCCAUGAAAAUCAGUCCUCCAACUUAAAUCCUUAUUUGGCUUUAACUUUGACUAUAUAAUAUAUUGAUUUUGACUGUAAUUGAGUGAGGUGUAACAAUUAAUGCUAUCAAUUUAAUUAAGUUACAAAAAAUUUUCAAGCAACAUAACAUUAAUGAAAAUAAUUCUCUUUCUCUGUGUGUGUAUAUAUAUGCUCUUGUUUGAGCCCCAUUUUGGGAGGAAGAAUGAAUUUUUGAAUAAUGUAUUGAUGAGAAAUGUGAGAUUAAAAACUAAGAAAAAUUUUUGAAUUUGCAUGUACUAUUAUUUUAUUGAAAAAUGUGUGGUUGAAAUAAUGUCAAAAUACUAUUGAAAAUAUUUAAAAUACUAUUGAAAAAUAUAUUUUUUUUCAAAAGAAUGGGACUCAAACAAGGCUUAUAUAUUGCUUAAACAUUUUCAUAAUUUGAAAUCAUGGUAUAAUUACAUCAUUAUCAAUAUUACUAAUAUAGCAUCCUCAAUAUACACAAUUGAGUAGAAUAUCCAAUUCAAUUGCAUGAUUCAAACUAUGGAUGUGGCCUUUAGGAGUAUGGAGUUGAUGUAGAGAAAAAUGUGGUUGGUCUCCAGCAUCGAUGCGGAAGACUCGAGUAGGAAAAGGCAGUUAUUUGGUAAAAAUAGUAAACCUAGCUAUUUGGAAAAGAAUGUGAUUCGAGACUUGAGAGACAAAUUGGGAGGCGGUAAGUGGAUGAAAAAUGUCAUCACUUACUAUCAAAAUGCUUACAUAAUUAGUGUUGUGUUAAUUGACUUGUUAUAGGUAGAGCUCUAAGAUCGCCUUCAUCCACUAAUAUUUACUUCGAUUAAAUUCUUUUAGACUUUUUACAUUUUUUAAGAAUUUAUGUUUAAAUAAAACCCUAAUAUUCAUAAAAUAUUUUCUUCAACUAAAGCUAAAACAAAAAUGAAAGAGACACCAUUAGAGUAAAUAUAUAAAGACAUAGCAACAUAUGAAGAAGAAUUUGAAAAAAGUAAUCAUUGUCCUUUUAUUGUGGGUUUGAUGAAUUUAGUAUGUGAAUGAUUUUUUAUUUGUGUUUAGGUUAUCUGAUAACUUGUCUUUUAAAUUCAAGUGGUAUAAAUAAGAAAUUUCAUUCAGAACUAUUUGAGUUUUUUAUUGGAAUUAUCUUUUCUUUUCUUGAUUUUCUUGAAUUGAAAAUAUUGAUGGCCAUAUUUUUUGGUAGAAUUAUCAAAACAAGAAUUUGAGCUUUUUGUUGGGAUUAUCUUUAUUUUUUUCUUGAUUUUCUUGAAUUCUGUUUCGCGUGGGUUAGUCGCUAACAAUUAAAAAGGGAUCAUACAAUUGUGUAAGGGACAAACCUCUUGAGACAAAGUCUCAAAAAGCUGUGUUUUUAUUGGCGAUGACUUUACAAUUGGAAAAUGAAAACAGAAUGCCUCCAAGGGGCGCAAACACACGAGUUAUUGAAGGAAGUGUUUUAAAUCUAAACUAAGAAAUUUAAAAUUACAUAUUUUGUGUUUGAGAGUGUUUGAUUCGAGGGUCUUUUGCUCUAUGUCUUUUCUUCCUUUUAUACUCCCUGGAUGAUCUCUUCGUGAUCAACCGCUUAAAAACUGCUUGAUCGCUCUAUAACUGUCCACUUUCCUUGUAGUGGCCAACUUGUCAUGGAACUGCCUUCUCUAACUGCUGCCAUUACUUUUUGUCGUUCAAUCGUCUUCAAUUGAAUUCCUUGAAUCGUGGAACAUUUUAGGGCUACUCAAUAAUUGAUUCAUUAACCGCAUCUUUGGGUAACCAUAACAUCUUACGUUUGCUAAGAUCCUGGGCGGCUCGAAGGUUUGGGUGAGAACAGGGGCACAGUUCUGGGCGACUGCAUGGCAAUCCAUUCGUUCAAAUCUUGGGCGAUGGUAUUACCGCGUUCAUGGGCUUCCCUAUUUGGGCCUUUAUCCUGCAUUGCCUGAUUGAGUCAUUCUUUGGGCUAUUUGAUUUUUGGGGAUCUUCCAAUUGGGCUUCAUUCCUUGGGCUAUUCGACUUGGGCUGAACUUUUUGUGUGUCAACAAUUACCCGCCAAUACGGCAGAAUUAAUACCAAUUAUUAAUUUUUGCCAUAUUCACUUUGUGUUUCCCAGCAACAUUCGAAAUUCCCAAGAAUUUCAAUCAUUGUUUUCUUCCAUAGCUUGAAAAGAUGCGACGUUUGCAAACCCUUAUAACCCCCAAAUACGUCAUUUCAUUGCACCACUAAAUCACUCCUCAUUUUUUCGCGCUUCUCUCUCGCAAUAUUACUGUUCAUCUCCUUGCUUUUCUGCUACGUAACUCUGAAAAACUCCAUUUCGUCCCUAAUGGCCACUUCACAAUCCCAGUCUGGUGACUCCUUCAGCUUCGAAGACUUUCAGAAACUCCUCACUCGGCCAUAUAUAACUUCAAACUUUCUUGCACCAGCCAAUGUCGAACUCAAAGAGUUCUAUCUAGGUCCUUCAUUCAACAACGUCGAGGCCAUCGAACAAGCGGUGGUCGGUCAGCUAUUCCUUUGUACUCAAGGCCCUCCGUUUUUAAACUCUUUAUCGCUGGGGCCACUUCGUGAAAGAGGUAUUCGUACUUGGCCUAAAUCUGAUGUCGUUUUCCGUAGGUGGCACGCUUACCUUGUGGACCAUGGUCCUACUAAGGCAAUUUUUGAUAAUGCUAGGAUUUCUGAUUUGUUAGAAAUCUCUCUUCGACACCCUAUUUUUGAUUCAGGACUUUUUCCAAUCGCUUUAAGUUUUUGGUCUUCUGAGUAUAAUACUUUUGUUUUCCCUCUUGGCCCCAUGUUCAUUACCUUAAGGAAUGUUGGGGCCCUAGUAAAUCUGUCACCUUUGGGCGAUACCAUUUUCCCUGGUAUUUUGAUUUCUGGUGUCGUCCCAAAAUUUAAAAGAAAACUCACCCAGUCUUUUUCAAACCUGCAAACCUGUCAUAACCACUCAAGCGCUGAGCCUUCCCAUGCUGAGCGUGUGGCCUUUCUUCUGAUUUGGCUUUGUAAAAACGUUUUGUGUGUGCCAAGCAUAAAGCCCUCCAUGAGUUAUUUACCCAUAGUGCACAAAUUGGCGCGUUGUAGGCCUCUGAAUUUGUGUUCUUUCUUUUUAGCUGCCCUCUAUAGAGGCAUGGCGCUUCUCUUCAAUCCCAAUUGAAGAAUGGUGCAUCUCCCAUUUCCAUUUUCUUCUUCAAAAGACCAAUUUGCUGCCAUUGUUUGGCAUUUUGACAAUUAAUCCAACACCUUCGUUUUUCAUGUAAAUGGAUCAUCUGAUCCACCCAUUUUGCCAUCCUUCUUGAUGUCACCUUUGGUAUGAGAGAUAUGGGAAAUAUUCUUUGACCAGCAGCAAAGUUCUUCCCAUCGUCUCCGUUCCUACAAAGAGUUCAAUGAUGGAAGACAAUUUUUGGGGUGCUUGCAGGCCACCUUGCUUGCUGAGAGUGCUUCUCAGCCUCCUUGCCCGUCGUUGUAGCGAUGCAUUUAGGAAGGCAAUGUGAGGGCGCUUCAUCUUCCUUUCUGCUUGCUGAGAGUGCUUCUCGGCCUCUCUGCUUGCCUUUGCAGUAGUGCGAUCAGGAUGGCGAUCAAUGCCAGUACACCCUCUUACUCGACGAUCGACUGGGAGAUUAGUUUUCUCUUAAUUGUAGUUUAUAGAGCAUUUAGCAUCUUGUAUUUCGCAGCUUUUGUAAUGAACAUUUGAUAAUAAAGGAAUUUAUUUGAACGUAUUUCGCUCUGGCCCUUUUUACUCUACGAUCGUUCAAUGCGAUUUGGUUACGCUUUUAUUUGUUCACUUUCCCAUAAGGAAGGAACAUACUUUUUCAAAUAUUUGCCAUUAAUGAACCUCAUGUGCUUGGUGCCUUCUAAAUCUUCCAAAUGAUAGACUCCAUUAGGCAAUACAUUAUUCACUUUAUAUGGUCCUUCCCAAUUGGGAGACUAUUUGCCAUACAUUGGAUCUUUGCUAUCCAAAGGGAGUACUGUUUUCCAAACCAAUUCGCCCAGGAUGAAUGACUUGGCUAUAACUUUUUUAUUAUAAAAUUUAGCCAUUCUUCAUUGUUGAACUUGCAAUCUAUCUAGGAAAUCUAACUUUAAUUCGUCCAACUCUAAUAAGUUUUGAACUAGUGAUUCGGUAUACUCAUCAUCACUUAACUUAUGUUGCAAACACACUCUGAUCGAUUGCACGUUGAUUUCCAUAGGCAAAACGGCCUCCUGUCCAUAAGUAAGUUGGAAAGGAGUAAUUUUGGUACUUGACCGAGGCGACGUCCUAUAAGCCCAUAAGGCCUUGUUCAGACAUUCAUGCCAAUUUCUGGCAUUUUCAUCUAUCAUUUUCCUUAUGAUAUUUUUUAAAAUCUUAUUACAAGAUUCUGCUUGCCCGUUGGAUUGAGCGUAAUAUGGUGUGGAGUUUACUAAUUUAACUCCAAACUCGCUCAAGAAUUUAUUCACUUGAUCCCCUUUUAAAGAUGUCCCGUGAUCUACCAUCAAAGUUUGUGGAAUUCCAAAUUUAUAAAUGAUGUGAUCACGGAUAAAUUUUAUGACAUUCUUCUGGGUGAUCUCCUUUAAAGGUACCGCCUCUACCCACUUAGUAAAAUAAUCGGUUGCAACUAUAACAAAAGUAUGUUGCUUAGACGAUGGGGGAUAAAUCUUCCCUAUCAGGUCUAUCGCCCAAUCCUUGAACGGCCAAGGUUUAAUAAUAGGUGCCAUUUCUCAUGCUGGCGCCCUUUGUAUUGGACCAUGCUUUUGGCAUGCUAAACAACUCUUUGCAUACUGAACGCAUAAUUCCCCCAUCUUUGGCAAAAAAAUAUCCACUCCUAAUAAUCAACCAUCUCAUCCUUUGGCCAGCUUGAUGAGCUCCACAUAUCUCCUCGUCCACUUCAGCCAUGAUCGUCCUGGCUUCUUGCAAACUUACACAUUUUAGCAGUAUACCAUUAGAGCGUUUCUUGAACAACUCUUCAUCUAUCAGUGCAUAGUUUAACAAACGCAACUUCAUUUUUCUACUAUCUUUUUUGUUAGGUUCUUUAAGGAACUCCUUAAUCUCUACCCUCCAAUCCAUUGCAUCUCCAUCUUGUAUGCAAUGAAGUUCAAUCCUUCUCACCCUUCUUUGGGUCACGGGCAAUAUUGUUCCAUACUCACAAGUAGACUUCCAAUUAAAAACCUUUGAGUACCCUGAGGCCAUCUGGGCCAACUCAUUUGCCACGUCAUUGUAUAUCCUAUUAACGCAUUGAAGUUCUACUUGGUCGAAUUCUUCUAAUAACUCUUGGGCGAUUUCAUAUUGACUCAUGAUGGAAUCACUUUGACAUUUAAAAUCACCAAUAAGUUGGUGAAUUACCAAUUGAGAAUCGCCUCUAAUGUUUACAUUUUUUACCCCCAUAUCUAUCAUUAGUUCUAGGCCCACGAUUAAGACUUCAUAUUCGGCUUGAUUGUUGGUGCACAUCCUAUCCAAAGUGAAUGCGAACUUGUAGCAAAUCCCUAAAUGAUUUAUCAAUGCUACUCCUACUCCUACACCUUUAGAGAUUUUUGACCCAUUGAAAUACAACACCAAAGGUUUUAGCUCGAACGAAUUGAUUUCUAAUUCAAUUUCUUCAAGCAUGUCAAGGCAUGGAUGAUCGGCUAGGAAGUUAGCCAAAGCCUAAUUUUUGACUGCCUUUUGGGGUAUUAUUGUAUUUCGAAUUCUGAUAAAGCUAACGUCCAAAGGCCUACCCUUUGGUGUAAAAUAGGGCGAGAGAACAUAUACUUAAUCAAAUUUACUCUAGAAAUCAAAUAAACGGUUACGGGCCGUAAAUAAACCCUUAAUUUUGUACGUGUGAAAUACAAUGCAAGACAUAAUUUUUCGAUAGCAGAGUAAUUACAUUCACAUUUUGUUAACCGUCUACUCAAAUAGUAAAUCUCUCUCUCUUCACCAAAUUGGUCUUCUUGUUACAUUCACAUUUUGUUAACCGUCUACUCAAAUAGUAAAUCUCUCUCUCUUCACCAAAUUGGUCUUCUUGCGCGACCAUUCCAGCUAUUGAUUCUUUUUCAGUUGAUACAUAUACUUUCAUGGGCCGUCCUUGGAUUGGUGACACCAACACUGGUGGACUUGAUUAAUAUGUCUUCAGGCUUUCAAAAGCUUUUUGAUGUUCUUCUUUCCAGACGAAUUCGUCCUGAUUUUUUAGCUUUAAAAGUGGCGAAAAGACUUUAGUUCGCCCUACGCAGUUAGAAAUAAAGCGUCUUAAAAAGUUUACUUGGCCUAGAAAUUUUUGUAAUUCUUUUUUGUUGCUAGGUGGUUUGGCCUCUAGAAUGACCUUCGCUUUAUUUUUAUCAAGUUCAAUCCCUCUUUUAUGUACCAAGAAACCAAGAAAAUUUCCUGCAUUAACACCAAAUGCACAUUUCAAGGGAUUCAACUUUAACUUAUAUUGCUUCAUUCGCUCAAAUGAACAUCUUAACUGUUCAAAAUGGUCCUCUUCUUUAAUGGAUUUGACCACUAUAUCAUCUACAUACACUUCAACAAACUUGCCUAUCAUAUCAUGAAAAAUUAAAUUCAUUGCCCUUUGAUAAGUUGCUCUUACAUUUUUCAGGCCGAAAGGCAUGACUACCCAUUCAAAACAUCCUAGAGACCCAGGGCAUCUAAAGGCAAUUUUGUGUAUGUCUUCCUCAGCUAUAUAAAUUUGAUUGUAUCCUGAAUACCCAUCCAUGAAAGAAUAUAUGACGUGUCCGACGGUUGAGUCUACUAAAGAAUCUACCGUGGGCAUUGGAUACUCAUCUUUGGGUGUAGCUAUGUUUAAAUUCCUAAAGUCUAUGCACACCCUUAGUUUACCAUUCUUUUUUAGUACUGGCACAAUAUUGGACAACCAUUCGACAUACCUGGCUGUUCUAAUAAAGCCUACUUUUAAUAAUCGCUCUAUCUCUUUCUUAAUCUCAGGGAGUACAUUAGGAGCAAAACGUCUGGGAGGUUGCCUAUGAGGUUUAAAAUUAGGCUUAGUUGGUAAUCUAUAUUCUACCAAGUCUCUAUCUAAACCAGGCAUUUGUUCAUAUUUCCAAGCAAAACAAUCUUUAUACUCCUUUAACAAAGCGAUUAAUUUAUCACUAACCUCUUGAUCGAGCAUCUGGCUGAUGAAUAUUGGACGAUCUUCUCCUUCAUUGCCAAUAUUUACUUUAAUCAGAGGGUCUUGUGAUUGAGCAUAUCUAGGCUUGAUGAUCUACAUUACUUCAUCGUCCAGCUCCUUUAUAAGCACUUCCUCUUCUAAACAAUCCACCUUGUUGACUUCUUGGCCAAUACUUUGUUCCAAUUCGAAUACUGCUAAUUUGUCUUUCAACGCUUUCAGGGCUGCAUCUUCUUUCGUCUUGUCCUUGCAUUCUUUAUUGAAAACCAUUAAUUUGGCUUUGAAGGCCUGAAUAUCAGCCAUUUACUCUUGUUGCUUUGAACUCAUUCAGGACUCCUUGAUUAUUCUUUUGCCAAUUACUGGCUCUUCUAAGGCCACUAUAUUUGGCCUCAUUUGAUUGGACAUUUCAGUGAGUGCGUCCACUGAAAAUGGCUCUUCACUCUGCGCGACAAUCUGAGUUUCUUCCCCAUCUUGGACUAGCCUGACAGGUCCAUAGUUUCCUUCGUACAUGAACCUUCCCACUGAGUUUGCUUCUGCAACAAAAGGCCUAUGAUCGGCCUACACCACCUCUGCUUUACCCUUGUUAUUCCAAAAAAACCAAGCAUUGAUGGAGCGAUGAGGGUAUACAGCGACUUCCAUGUAUCCAAUCUCUUUCUAGUAAUAUAUUGUAACUAGUAGGACCAUCUAUUACAAAGAAGACUGUGUUCCUAGUAGUUGUACCUAUAGUUAUGUCCAAUGGCAUAACUCCCUUAGCUGCAGUUGCUCCUCCAUUGAAACUUGUAAGGAUGACUUCUGUUGGAAUCAUAUCCCCUUCUGUCUUUGCAAACUUUCUCAUCAUCCUAGAUGGAAUGGUGUUUAUAGCUACUCCAUUAUCGACAAGCACUUUUGCCACUGGUAUGCUAUUAACUAGAGCUUUAACGUACAACAACCUCAAGUGUUUAGUCAAUUUCAUGGCUGACUGUUUAAAAAUAACCUUUUUGGCAGCCUCUAUUUCUACUUCCUGCCUGUCCUCUGUCGAGUUAUCCUUUUGUGAUAAGUCAACGUGCAGCAUAUCACACUGAGCCUCUGUCUCCCGAAUUUCCUUUUUACUGUUUUUUGAUGCUUCAUCUUCAGUUACCUAACCUGUGGGAGGAGGCAUUAUUCUUGGAGGUGAUCCAUACUUUUCAGAGCGAGGCACUCUCUUCUUCCUUUUAGGGGUCCCGUACAGCACGUAAAAAUCGAAAGAACGCUCAGAUGGUUCUCCUAAUAAAUCUACUUCACGAACUCCCUCUUAAUGUAGUUGCUUCAAUAGAGUAUUGUACGAUACUCCUCUCCUUCUUCUUUCUGCUUCUAGGUCGAUUUUCUCUUCAAUGUCUAUCAUACCAUCAUCUUCCUCACCAAUGUAGGCCUCUCUAGAAGUCUGGCCUUCUUUAUAUUCCAGCAUGCAUGCUUCUCCUUCGUUAUCUUCUCUUUCUUCUUCUUCUUUCUCUUUAUUCUUGAACUCAUUGGCUAGUAAAUAGUUAUUAGCCACAACAGGAGGUAACGUAACGAACUGAAUAGUAAGGGGCUAAUCUGGAUCUUCUCCAUCCCUUCUAUCUUGCUCAAACUUCGAUCUCCCAGAAGAAGUUUCUGGCAACUCUUUCAUUGAUUCAUCUGUACCAGUCUCUUCACUAUCUUUAAGAACAUUGUGAUUGGCUACCUCAAGUAGUUUAGGCGCCUUAGGACGUGGCACUUCCUGUUGUUGCCUCAUCAUUCGUCCAUAUUUCGUUGGAAACGCCUUUGUUGGGUUCUAGUCAUCUCGUUGAAGGGUAUCACCUUUCCUGCAUUAUACUGGAAUGAAUGCCAUACAUUUGGUCGACGAGGUUGCGGCCUGAAUGUUUUCCCAUUAUUUACUGGCCUGAACUGUCUCUCAAAAGGCGGUCCCUUAUAGAACGAUGUACCUCGCCCUCUACCAGGCUGAGCGUUUGGGAAGAAAGUAAGGCGACGGGGAUGCUACCAUAUCCCUGUUUUCUUCGUAUUCCUACUCACUUCUCUUUUACAUCUUGCACACAAGACGUCUUCAUCCAUUUUUGGCUUCUUCCCUUUAAUACACUCAAAGACACUGGGAUGUGGUCCAGGGUCUUCUUCUCCAUCAUCUAUAACCAUUUUGAAUUUUUGCAACUUGUUUUUGAAACCAGAUGUUACCAUAUUCACUCCAAGUGGCUGUGGAAAGGGAUUUUCAUCCACUGCCAUCUUCUUCUUAUCAUCGAACGUAAUUCGUCCUGAUUCAAUGGUAUCUUGUAACACAUGGCGAAAAACCAAGCAAUUGUUAGUCAAAUGUGACCAUGCAUUAUGCCACUUACAAUAUUUUUUACCCUUAAUUUGUUCAGGGUUUGGCAAUUUAUGCUUAUCGCUCAGCUUUAUCUGCUUAUCCUUAUAUAAUUUAUCAAAUAUAAGGUUAGCUUUGGUUAUAUCGAACGAGAACGUUCUAGCUUUUACGUUUUCAUCUUUCAUAGGCUCAUCCUUGCCCGAUGGUCUAGGCUUAGCCAUUAUAGGACAAGUAUAUGUGUCUCCUUUGACUAAUUCGGCCAAACACAUUUCGGUCUGAUCGUAUGACUCGUUAUUGACAGUAUGAACAUCAAAAUUUGGGUCUCUAUAAUAAGUCCCCUUGCUAGAAUUUUUUAUCUGCUCUUCUUCUCUUAUCAAUCGUUCAUACCUAAUCACGUUCGCGCUCAAUUGGAAAAGGUCAGGAAAUUCCUCAUUUUGGAAUUUCUUUUUCAAAUUAAAGCUCAAACAACCUUGAGCGAUUUUGACAAACUCUUUUUCGGGCAGAGGUACAAAACAUUUACUUCUUGUUGUCUUGAACCUUUGGAGGAAACCUUCUGCCCAUUCAUUUGGCAUUUGACGUAGGUUCGCCCAAUCGGCCAAAGUAACUUCAGACUCAAUCUUAUAAAAUUGAGCGUGGAAUAAUUGUUCCAAUUAUUGCCAUAUUUGAACAGAGUUCACUGGCAAACUGAUGAACCAGGAGAAAGUUACUCCUGUUAAUGAACUAGGGAAAAGCCUCAUUUUAUGAUAAUCAAUUACGUCACCACUUUGCAGUGUGAAUCGUCCUAUGUGUUCUAGAGUAGACACCUCCCUUAAACUAGUAAAUAGUGAGAAUUCUGGCACUUUAUACCCUCCAGGCCAUGGAUAUGCUUGGUCUAUCCAAUCAGGAUAUGGCUUUGUGUAAGUCGGCGUAAUGACAAGACGUACCCCAAAAGCCAUCUGGUCCUGUACGAUUUCCAUAAUCUGAUUCCUCAACAUGACGUUGGGGUCAUAUAGAAUCCCUACAGGUUGGUUGAUCGGUUGAUUUGCUUGAGGCCUGAUAUUUGGUCCUUGAUUAGGAAUAAAGUUACCAUGAUUUGGGCCAUUGUUACCAUUAGCCUGAACAUUUAUUCCCUCAUUAACACGUGGGGUAUUCUGCCCGUUAUUUAGGACAUUAUCUCUUACAUUUGGAUUACCCCCCAAGUUAGGCGUACCACUACCAUUAUUCUGAUUUGGAAUUACACCAUCCCCUUGGUUUGAAGUAGAGGGACCGAAAUGUGGUUCUACCCCUUGACUUGGAUUUAGGACUGGGGGAUUAUGUCCCACAAUUGUCCUAGUUUGAAAGUGGUUUGCAAGAGGCAUAACUCGUUGACAAAUUUGGCCUACUAACUUAUUCAUUAUUUCGUUCAAAGUACUCAGUUGUUUGGCCAUGUUGUCAUAAUGUGCAUUCCCAUUCUGGGUAAAUCUUUUCAUAUUAUGAAUAUUUCGAAGACUUACCUGUUCAACGACAUCUUGUGUGAGUUCUCCAAGUAGUGCACGCAUAGUUCGAGGACUCAACUCUGCCAUUGAUUCGUAACGACUGUUACUGCUGUGAUUCUGUCCAUCUAUUCAUGGAGAGCUAUGCUUCUCCUCAUAUCGCUCGAUCACAGGCUGGACUCCUCCCUGACUUGUUGCUUCCUUAUCGGAUCUUUGAGGCAUAUUGUUUCACCUUUUGUAUCUACAACACCAAACACCACUGUCCCACCGGGCGUGCCAAAUUGUUUCACGCGGGUUAGUCACUAACAAUUAAAAAGGGAUCAGACGAUUGUGUAAGAGAUAAACCUCUUGAGACAAAUUCUCAAAAAUGGGUGUUUUUAUUGGCGAUGACUUUACAAUUGGAAAAUGAAAAUAGAAUGCCUCCAAGGGGCGCAAGCACACGAGUUACUGAAAAGAAGUGUUUUAAAUCUAAACUAAGAAAUUUAAAGUUACAUAUUCUCUGUUUGAGAGUGUUUGAUUCAGGGGUCUUUUGCUCUAUGCAUUUUCUUCCUUUUAUACUCCCUGAAUGAUCUCUUCGUGAUCAACUGCUUAAAAACUGUUUGAUCGCUCUAUAACUACCCACUUUCCUCGUAGUGGCUAACUUGUCAUGGAACUGCCUUCUCUAACUGCUGCCAUUACUUUUUGUAGUUCAACCGUCUUUAAUUAAAUUCCUUGAAUCGUGGAACGUGAUAGGGCUACUCAAUAACUGCUUCAUUAACCGCACCUUUGGGUAACCAUAACAUCUUACGUUUGCUAAGAUCCUGGGCGAUUCGAAGGUUUGGGCGAGAACAGGAGCACAGUUCUGGGCGACUGCAUGGCCAUCCAUUCGCUCAAAUCUUGGGCAACUUGUAACCUUGGGCGAUGGUAUUACCGCGUACAUGGGCUUCCCUAUUUGGGCCUUUAUCCUGUAUUGUUUGAUUGGGUCGUUCUUUGGGCUAUUUGAUUUUUGGGGAUCUUCCAAUGGGCUUCAUUCUUUAGGCUAUUCGACUUGGGCUGAACUUUUUGUGUGUCAACAAAUUCAAACAAUUGUGGCUAAUUUGCUGGGAUCUUCAAAGAAACUUGAUAGUGUGGAUAUAUAAUUUUUAAAUGAAUGGAAUGUGAUGUGGAUGAAAAUGAUAUUUUUUAAAAAUUUUAAAAUUUAAUAGGAAUGAAUAUAGAGUGAGAUAGAUAUAUAACAAUGGUGGAUGCAAAUAACAACUCCCUUUGUUCUUGAUUCCCCCAUAGUCAAUAAAAGCUAUUGGGUUUGACCUAAAUCUUUUAAUUAUAUUAUGGUUUAGGGGUAGAAUGAGAUACAAAAAGAGAGUCCGAGAAAGAAAAAGAGAUUAUCUGGUUAUGAACAAUAUGAUUUUAUUUAUAAUGAUGAAUUAUGUAUGACGAAUGUUAUUAAUCGUCGCAAGAAAAUGAUACGAUACAAAGAAGUAUGAGACUUAAGAAAUUUGCACAAAUGAUCCUUUAAGGGCAUAAGUUUAUUUUUAUUAAAGUAGAUAUACUUUUAACUAUCGGAAUGGAUAGAAACAAUAGGAAACGGCCCCCCUUUUUUACGAGCAAAAUCAAUAUGUUGAGGGGGUCAAUGCCAUAAUUGUAACAUUAGGGACCAUUUGUGUCAAUUCCUUGUUAAUAAAUAUUCCGCUUUUCGGGUCCUUUGAAAAAAAAAAAAAAAAAACUACCUAUCUCCCUUAAAGAUAGACUUCAUUUUCUUUUUCGUCAGUCCCAAAUUACUAGCUACUUUCCUUGCUGAAAGUGAAGAUAUAUUUUAAUUUUCUAAUAUGCCAUAUUUUAUGUAUCUUGUUAUCAAUAAAUAUAAAACAAAUACUAUUUAAACUAUUAUUUAAUAUAGGAGUAUAUAUAGAAAAAUGUAACAAAAUUUAUAUUUUCAAUUAUAUUAAUUACAUUUUCUUAAUAUGUGUUAAAAUAUAGAGAAGUUUAUUUUUAUGGGACGGAUGUAGUAAAUAAGAUGCACUGUGAAACAAGAAACCAUGAUGCUUGACAAUGACAAUCUGCAGUUACUUAAUAGCCUCCAAACAUUAAAUAAUCAUAAAUCAUUAAAUGAAAAAUUGGUUUCUUAACUUGAAUAAUGGAACUGGACAUAUUGAUAAAAACUUAAUGAAGUUGAUAUACAUACUCAAGAAACAGUCCAGUUGGUAAAGAUAAUUUAAUACUUGAAUUGCUUAGUCCCCAUUUGGGAUAGAUUGUUUUGGUGGAAAUAAUAGAAGGGGAAAAAAAAAAACUUACUAUUAGAUUAAUAUGUUUGUUUGGCACUCUGAAGCAAUCCACAAGUCGAAAGUUCAAGAAUAGAAUGCAAUAUUUUUAGUAAUUGAUUUCAAAAUAAUGGUAAUCAAUUCACUAUAUGAUACAGAUAAUGAAUAUUUAAACAUGAGUAUAAACACAUCUCUGAAUACAUUAAGGAUCCAAUGAAAUUCAAUCUCCAUUAGUAGAAAACAGCUUAAAACUUGGAAUAUUUGGUUUUAUCAAAGUUAAUGGAACCUGAUUCAAAAUAAAAUAAAAUAAAAAUAAAAAUAAAAAGAUUCACAUGGUUAAGCAAAAAUGAAGCCACAAAUAAACAUGUUAAACAUGGACUUAAACUUUAUUGAAAUUACUUAAUUUUGAUUGUAAAUAACUUAAUUAUUUCUACUUGGGGACAACAAAGAAAUAAAUUACCUUGAAACUUAUUUACUUUUAUGUUUACUUUUGAAGAAUUUUAUAGAAGCAAAACUUAUAUUCAGAUUUUAGGGAUCCAUAUUUUCUCAUCCACUUACAAACCAGGCACUCGAUAAUGUUUGUAUAUUGGAUUCCCAGUAUACAAAUUCAGAAGGGUAAAUUGUUUCUGAGCCUUCAAUCAGGAUAUCAUUGAUGUCUAGUGGAUAGACUGAUAAAGUGUUUAAGAUCGAGUCAAUCUGUUGUUGUAUUUAUGCUUUUAUUGUUGCCACAGACCUCAAAGUCAUGUCAUAGCCUAUGAAUGGUGUUAGUAGGAUGCCGACGCUAGAAGAGAAAUAGCAGGACAGGCAAGCACAUGGUUGGAGCCAUGGACCAAUGAGAAAUACCACUGAAAAUUUAUUGUCUGUGGGUUUCCGCCUCAUCCAUAUGUUGCAAUUCAUCCACCAAAACUUCGAAAUUCACUUCAUCGGGAGGAUUGGAGAAGCCUACUACUUCAUGGGGAGAGACUCUGUUGGCAAUAAACAUAUAUUCUAGCAUCCAAAACCUAAUAUUUAAGAAUUGAUUAAUAUAUAGUCAUUAUUUUGAUAAUCAAAUACAAAAAGCAUUGAAAUUAAGAAUUAUUGAAGAUUUCAGAAUUUCUUGUGAUUGAAAAGUUUCAUUCGAUCCUUCUUGCUCUUAGACUAGGGGUUUGUCUUCAAUUGAGAGAUGAAUUUUAAACAUAUUUUUAAGUUCAGGUAUGCUCAAUUGAGAUUUUAAUGAAAUUCAUUAAAAUUUAGGUGUUCCAAAUUGAAAUUUUAAUGAAAUUCAAUGAAAUCUUUUAAAGUUUAGGUAUCUUCAAUAAUUAGUGUAUUUAUAAAAUUUUAAAAGAUUUUAAGUUGAUUUCAUACUUAAAAAUAUAUAUAACCAAAUAUUUUGAAAUUUCACCGUAUUUGAUGAAAUUCUUAUUGAAUUUAUGGAAAUCCAUUUAGAUCCACAAAAUUCAUUAAAAUUUAUAAUCUUUUAAAAUACAUCAAAAUCUUAGUUGAGGACAUCCCUGUAAAUGGACGAUGUCUAUGUCAACUUUUUUUUUUUUUAUAUAUAUUUUCACUAUGUUUAUUGGCUAGAUUAUUUGUUAGGGCGAAUGAUAUAGGUGACUUCAGUAUAAUUAAUUGAUUUCUAUUCAUAUUUUAAUUAUUUAUUUUGAAUAUUUGUUUUGUAAAUUGUGGUAUGAUUGAUUUAUUUUCUUUAUUGAGAAUAAGAGUUGAAUCACAUAAUAUUUGAUUGUAUGUUAGAUCGAAAGAUUGCAUGUUGAACACAUAAUCUUACUAUUCAUAAAUUUGUAGCUUAGCUUCAUUGCCACAAAGAUAAUUUAGUGGUUGCUAACCUGCAGACAAGAAGCAAAAUAAAUGGGACAGUACAUAUUGAUUGAGAAUUAUUAAUCAUUUAAAUAACACAUAAUCUUACUAUUCAUAAAUUUGUAGUUUAGCUUUAUUGCCACAAAGAUAAUUUAGUAGUUGCUAACCUGCAGACAACAAGAAGCAAAAUAAAUAGGACAGUACACAUGGAUUGAGAAUUAUUAAUCAUUUAAACAAUACACUUAAAUAAUUGCAUUAUGAUUCAUUCGUCAUUUUUUUAUAAAUAAUCCAAUGUGAUUAGCUAGAAGAGUAGGAUGUAGUCAAAAGAGUAAUGUUUUUCGAUACCAUUGGAAAAAUAUUGUCUUCACAUUAAGCUAUGUAUGGUGCACCAGAUUAGGCCAUAUAAAGAAUUUAGUGUAAAAUUAUAAUGAUACUACUAGGUAAAUGAUAUUAUGGUUGAUUAAGGUGAAUACUAAUCUUUAAUUUUUCAUUCAAAAAAUGGUCAUUUGCAUUAUCAACCGUAUAAUAUAGUACCGAGGUUGGAGGUAACUUUAGGCCACAUAAAAAGAGAGAUGAAAUGAUGGUUCAAAGAUUAUUAUCAUUCUUUAUCCCCCAUAAUACCCUUGACCCAGUAAUAUUCAUUAUCAUUUAUACUAAUAUUUUAUUUUGUUUACUCCGGUGCACCUAACAUGACCAUAAUAUUCCAUAAGGCUUUGUAUAUAUGCUAUGGUUAUGCAUUGUUAUCUACAGUUAUUUUUUUUUAUGAAAGUUAAUAAUAUAUUGGAUUGUUUUCCAAUUGUUGAUCCUACUCGGUAUUGAUUAUGAUUCAACAAGUCAGUUGAUCUUGUGUUAUAUUGCUGCGUCAUAGAUUAAAAUGCCCAGUGAAGAAAGAAACCAGGAUGCUUCACAAUGAUAGGGGAAAAAUAUUGUUUUCUCAGCUGGCACUCGACAAACUGAUAACAAAGCCUCCAUUCGGAAUUUUUUUUAAAAUCAUUUAUAAUGGUCAAACUUCAUUUUCAACCAUACAUAUCAAUUGACCUACAAUUAUUAUCUACUCAUUCACUACAAAUUCCUCUCUAUUUAAAAAUUAAACAGUUUAUAAAUUCUUCCAAAAUGAACAAGUUGAAAAAGUUACCCUAGUUGAUAAAUGGUCGAGUUGAUUAAGUUACACAAGAAUCAGUUGGCAGUGAUAAUAAAAUACAUGAAUUGCUUAGGCCCCUCUGGGACAGAUUGUUGUGGAUCCAAAAAAGAAAGAAAAAAUACUAUUUGAGUAAGAUACAUGGUUAAUAAUAUACAUAAAAACUACUAUUAAAAUAAUCAAACUGGAAAGUUCAAGAAUAGAAGUUUAUGUUUAUUAUAUUUGAGUAUCAAAAUAAUCAUAAUCGGGAUCAUGACCUUUUUAUCAAAAUAAGUGAACUUUUUUACUUAAGGUUUUUCGUCAAAUGAAAACGAGAACCGAAUGAUAUUUAUCAAAGAAAAGAGCGAGAGGGACUGACUAGACGGCCGUCGAUCAACUCAUAAGAAUAAACAUAACUUUGUUCAAAAUCUUGGUAAACUUUUCCAUUGAUCUUUUCAAUUUUGUGUAUCAUCUGAAGAAUAAACAACACCAACAACAGGAAUGCCACAAAUUUUGAAAAGAAUAAAGGCGAAGGAGAAAGAAAAAAUAAAAAAGCUAAAGAAAAAAUAAAAAAGCUCUAACAACCAUAGUCCAAAAAACGAUUUCAUCAAAGUUCUUCUCGAUGGAGCUUAAAGCAAAAAUUUAGUGAUUUGCUUCCAAAGCAUCAGAACCAUUUUGAAUGUUUGAUAUCGGUUAUGUGAACUAUUCGAUAAAUAAGGAAGAAAAUGAAGUUAUUAUUCUUCAGCAGCGGCACUUGCAGCACUCAGGUCUACUGACAAAUAGAGAACUUGAACCAAAAAAAAAAAAAAAAAAAAGGCAAAUAAAAAUAUAAACAGUAAAUAUCAAAUUUCUCUAAGUUAUAUACACUUUCUUCAUGUAGAUUUCAUGACUCAUAUAUCCAUCAGUUACCUGUUGGAAAAAUUCCAACGUAUGGGGACACACACACACAUAUUAAAAUGUGUUGUGCUAGUAUAAAGCUUAGUCAAUAAAGUCAUCCGUUAAAGUCAAUUUUUAGACUAACGGGUAUUAAAUGUCAUGGAAAUGAAGUGUGGAGACUAAAAAAUGUUAUUUUAAAUUAAUGAGGGGCCAAUUUGAAAUAACACAAAAUUAAUAACUGCUUAAUAGUUAUUUAUUCUGGGGUCAUGGUCCCAAUUGUACGUGAUUUUUCAUAUCUCUCUACAUCCCCAUCAAUAGAGAAAAAAAUUCCAAGCAAUUACGUAACAAUUGGAAGAUCUUCACCCAUUAAGAAUAUUAACAACAGUGGAUCAAGGUAUGCUUCCGCAUUUUUUAAUGUUCCCUUUGAUUUCAACAUGUAGGAUCAUUUAUGUAAUUUUGUGAAAGGAUUUGAUAAAAUUUUGGUUUCUUUCAAUUCAUACAAGUGGUAUUAGAGCACUCCAUUUUGAAUCUUUGAGAAAUUGCAAGAAUAAAUGCUAUAACAAUUCUAUAUUGUGGGUUAUUUUUGAUCUUUUAUCAUAUGAUUAUGUGAAAUUUAGUUCUUACAGUAUUUUAAGAGUUUUCAAAUUUGACAAAUUCGAAUUUAUUUUUGUUGGAUUUGAAAAUUGUUCAGCAUAUUAUUCAUGGUUAUUUUUUUCAAAACUUGGAUUAAAAUUUUGAAAAUUUCAAAUUUUUAUUUUUCAGAUUUCAUAAAAAAGAAUUUUGAUUAGCCGCUAUCGGCAUUGCAGCAGUAGCGCUGAUAGCUAGGGAAGGAGAAAGAGAAAGAUUCGGUUGGAUUUUUUGGGAUGGGGGCCUGAGGUGUAAUUUUGGUAAUCUCAUGCCCUUGCUUGAAAUAAAGAUUAGGGUUAGCUAAUUUUUUAAAAUAUAAUUUUACGUUUCAGUCUCUAAAGUUUGAAAUCCAUCCAAGCUGGACCUUUAAAGUUCUAGGUUCAAUAAUUCAAUCCAUAAAGUUUGAAAAUUAUUUAAUUUGGGCCAUCAAAGUUCUGGAAUUUGUAAUUAAAGCCCUCAAUGUUUAUAAUUAAUUAAAAUUGGCCCCCAAAUUUUUAAUUUUUUUUCAAAUUUUGACCCCUAAAAUUUUGAAUUAUUAACCCUUAGGUCCCUAAAGUUUCAAAAGACAUCUAAUGAUGCAAAAUUAGUGAUUCUCUUUCUCAAAUUUGGUAUUAAGGACUCUUAUAAGAUGUAUAGUUGAGAUUUAAUUAUGUGGGACAAUCAAAUUUAAAUAAUUUGAUAAAUCAUUCAUGAUAAAGUAAGGUUAACUAGCAUUUUAAAUAAACUAAUUGAAACAAUAUGUCACCAAAGUGACCUUUUUGUGUAAAUUGGUUAGUUUGGGAUGUUUAGAUAUUGUGUGUGUGUUUGUUCAUACGGGUGUUAGUCGGCCCAAAGGAAGGUUAAUAUUUGGCUGAAUUACAUACACACUUAUGGUAGUGAAUGUGUAACAAUUAUAAGGUUUCCAUGUGAAUAAUAAAUCAGCCCAAAGAUGGGUUUAUUAUUUGAUAAGAGUUGUUGUCAAUAUCUGAUCACUACACCAAGAAUACCACUUGCAAUUAAUAUUACUGUCCAAAGACUUGAUCACUACACCGAGAUGGAGCAUACCAUUAUUUGAAUUUAUUGUUCAUCAAAUGUGGAUAUGAGCAUGAUUAUUUGUUUAUUUUUGUUCUUUGUGCAACUAAUUCAUCUGCUACUACUAUAUCUGCCAAUGUUAAUUCAAAUUACAAAUUUCAAGGAUUGAAAUGAGAACAUAUUGAUUGCUCUUAGCUGCAUGGAUUUGACUUUGGACUUCGGAUUGAGGAACCCACACUUCUUAUGGAAGAAAGUUCACCUGAUGAAAAGAGGAACUUUGAGAAGUGGGAUCGUUAAAAUUGCAUGAGUCUAAUGAUCAUUAAGCGUGGCUUUAUGAAAACCUUUAGAGGUGCAGUAUCCAAAGGGAUAACAAAUGUCAAGGAGUUCCUCGCAGAAAUUGAGAAGCAUUUUGCGAAAAAUGAUAAGGCUGAAACUAGCAUGCUUUUGUAAAGCUUGAUUUCAAUGAAGUAUAAAGGCAAGGAAAACAUAAAGGAGUACAUUAUGGGGAUGUCUCACAUUGCUUUUAAGCUUAAAGGGCUAAAGCUUGAGCUAUAUGAUGACUUACUGGUACAUUUGGUAUUGAUAUCGCUUCCUACAUAGUUCAGUCAAUUUAAGGUCAAUUAUAGCUGUUAGAAAGAGAAAGAGUCUAUAAAUGAGCUCAUUUCAUAUUGUGCGCAAGAGGAAGAAAGGUUGAAGCAAGAAAGAAUUGAAUGCGCUCAUUUGACAAGCACUUCUAAGGAUAAGGGCAAGAAAAUAAAGAAAGAGUAUGAAUCUAUUCCUACGGGUCCAGCACAAAAGAAACAAAAGGAACAUAAAUGAGCUUGUUUCUUUUGUAAUAAGACUAGACAUAUAAAGAAAGAUUAUCCAAAUAUCAUGCAUGGCGUGCAAAGGAAAGUACAACUCUCACAUUGGUCUGUUCUGAAAAUAAUUUUGCUCUAGUACCUAGAAACACUUGGUGGAUAGAUUCUAAUGCUACUAUUCACAUAAGUACUUCUAUGUCGGGCUGUCAGAGUUAUCGAAAGCCAAGUGAUGGUGAAAGAUACAUCUAUGUGGAUGAUGGCGAAUCCGUUGAAGCUAAUGUAAUAGGCACAUUUAGGUUAUAAUUAGGAACUGGUUAUUAUUCGUAUUUGAAAGACACUUUUGUUGUACAGUCUUUUAGACAGAACUUGAUUUUCAUUUGUUUGUUGGACAGAUCUAGAUACUGCUGUUCAUUUAGAACCAUUCAGUUUAGCCUUUCAUUAAAUUCUUAUGCUAUUGGUAAUGGUUUGUUAUUUGCAUAUGAUAACCUAUAUUUGCUCGAUAUUAUUGUAUCAUAUAAUGAGAUCUUGCAUGUGGAAUCAAGUGAUACUAAACGCAAAUUAAAUAAAGAGAAUUCAGCAAAAUUAUGACACAAGUGCUUAGGUCACAUCUCAAAAGCUACAGUUGAACGACUUGUAUCAGAUGGUAUUUUGUUUUUCCUUGACUUCACGGAUUUUAAUGUAUGUAUUAAUUGUAUCAUGGGAAACCAGAUCAAAACAAGGAGAUUAGGGGCUAAUAGAACUUCAAAUGUCUUAGAACUGAUACACACAGAUAUUUGUGGACCAUUUCUUACGACUUCUUGGAAUGGUCAACAAUAUUUAUAUCAUUCAUAGACGAUUACUCAUGUUAUUGGUACCUAUAUCUCAUCCAUGAAAAGUCUGAGUUGUUGGACGUGUUCAAGCUUUUAAAACCGAGGUUGAGAAUCAACUCAAUAAAAGGUUAAAGAGCAUUAGGUCUAACCUUGGUGGUGAGUACUAGGCAGACAUGACUGUUGAAAUUAACAAUGUCUAUGACCAUUUGCUAAACACCUAGAGGAAUGUGGAAUCACCAUGCCAGGAUCGCCUAGAUGAAUGGUGUAGCUGAAAGAUGAAAUAGGACUCUUAAGGAUAUGGUAAGGAGUAUGAUUCGUCAUUCUACCUUACCGAAGUCACUCUGAGAAGAGACAUUAAAGAUCGCAACUUAUAUUCUAAACAGAGUGCCAACUAAGGCUGCUGUUAAAACAUCUUAUAAACUUUUGACAUGAAGAAAGCCUAAUCUAAAGCAUUUUCGUAUUUGGUGAUGUCUCGCUAAGGCUAGACAUUAUAGGUCACAUAAAAAAAAAAUAAAAAAUUAGACUCCAAAAUAGUGAGUAGCUAUUUAAUUGGUUAUUUUGAGUGCUCUAGGGGCUAUAAAUUUUAUGAUCCCACACUUAAGUCAAUUUUUGAAACGGGACUGCAAUACAUUUUGAGGAUGUUGAGUUUGGGAGGAGAAAUAAAGUUAAAGGCAUUGUCUUUGAGGAAGAAGUUGAGGAAUGAUUUGUUUCAAUUCGUACUAUUAUUUUUGACAAUGUACAUGUUUCUAUACCUAUCAUUAAUUAAGAAGUAUAUCUAGAGCCCCAAAAAAACAACGUUGAAGAACCUCCCACCCAAAAUGAGGUAAUUAUUUCAAAAGUACAAACUCAACAAUCUCAAAAACUAAUACCAUUAAGAAGAUCCACGUGAGAAAGGAAAAGUGCUAUUUCGAAUGAUUUUAUAGUAUUUCUCCAAGAACAUGAGAAAAAUAAUGGAAUGGUGAAAUAUGAUCCAAUCAAUUUCCAUUAGGCAAUGUAGGGUUACAACUCUCAAAAGUGGAUUGAUACCAUGAAUGAGAAGUAUAAGUCUAUGAAACACAAUAAAGUUUGGGAUCUUGUCCCAUUACCUGAAGGUGUGAAGUCCAUUGGUUGCAAAUGGAUUUUUAAAACCAAUGGGGAUUAGAAAGAUAAUGUGGAAAGAUAUAAGGCUCGUCUUGUGGCUAAAGGCUUUACCGAAAAGGAAGGCGUCGACUUCAAAAAGAAUUUCUCUCUAGUUUCAACGAAAGACUAUUUCAGGACAAUUAUGGCACUUGUUGCACACUUUGACCUUGAGUUACAUCAAAUGGAUGUUAAGACUGCAUAUCUCAAUAGCAACAUUGUUGAGACGAUCUAUAUGGUGCAACCAAAAAAAUUUGUGUCAGGAGACUCGAAGAAUAUGAUUUGCGAAUUAAAGAAAUCCAUCUAUGGACGUAUACAAGCUUCUCAUCAAUGGUACCACAAAUUUCAUCAAGUAAUUAUCUCAUUUAGUUUUGAAAUGAAUGCCGUUAAUGAUUGUGUGUAUCACAAGUACAAUGGGAGUAAGCAUAUUUUCCUGGUUUUUUAUAUCGAUGAUGUACUGCUUGCCACUAAUGAUAUAAGCAUGUUGCACAAAAUCAAGAGACUUUUAUCAAGGAAUUUUGAGAUAAAAGAUCUUAGUGAUGCCUAUUUUGUAUUAGGGAUUCAGAUACAUUGGGAUUACUCUCGAGGUAUUCUUAGAUUGUCACGAAAGAGCUAUAUGGAUAAAGUACUUGAAAGGUUUGGCAUGCAAGACUGUAAAGUAGGUAACGCCCUUGUCGCUAAGGGAGACAAAUUUAGUCUCAAACAAUGCCCUCAAAAUGACCUUGAAGUUUAGAAAAUGCAAACGAUUUCCUAUGCAUCGGCUAUUGGGAGUCUAAUGUAUGCUCAAGUUUGCACACGUCCAGACAUAACAUUCAUUUUUGAAAUGUUAGGCAGAUAUUUAAACAACCCUAGGAUGGAUCAUUGGAAGGCAACCAAAAUGGUUAUGAUGUAUUUAAAGAGAACAAAGGAUUACAUGUUCACAUAUAGCAAAUUCAAUUAGUUAAAUAUCACUGGGUACCCGGAUUCUGAUUUUGCUAGAUGCCAAGGCAGUAGGAGAUUCAUACCAGGUUAUAUCUAUCAACUAGCUGGAGGAGCUAUUUCUUAAAAGAGUGCCAAGCAGACACUCAUAGCUUUUUCUACCAUGGUAGUAGAGUUUGUAGUGUGCUUUUGGGCAUCUAACCAUGGAAUAUGGCUGCGAAAUUUUGUCACUGAGCUGUGCAUUCUGAAUGGCAUAAAAAGAUCGGUGAAGUUAUAUUGUAUUUCUUGAGGAUAACAUGUUUUAGUGGGAGUUUGUAUUCUCAUUUAUGUUUAGUUUUAUGGACAUAUUUGUGUAUUUUGAUGUUUUUCUAUAUAGAAAUGAAGUAUUUAGUUCAUUCCACUCUAUUAUUAUGUUCAUUAUUGAUCUCACUUAAGAAAUAAGGUUGGACUAGUUGAAAAUAGACAUGUUCGGGUCACAUAAUAUGUAGUUUCCAUGCUAGACUCCCAUGAUUGAUCUAUGUCAUUUGGUUGUAUGGGUGUACGUGACCAUUGAUGGAUUUAAUCACACUAAAUGAGAAGAAAAUCGAUUUGAUCCUACAUUAAUAUAACCGAUGGAUGAAAUUGUUUGGAAAUACCCUUAAUAAUGAUAGCAGAAUUUUGAGCUCAUAAAUUUGAGCACAUUUGUAAUAUUACAUGUAUGGUUCAAUGAGAGAUUGUUGGAAAAAUUUCCAACGUAUGAGGCCAAACAUGUAUGUAUAUAUAUAGUAAAAUAUGUGGUGCUAUUUUAAAGCUUAUUCAGUAAAGUGAUCCGUUAAAGUCAAUUUUUGGACUAACGUGUAUUAAAUGUCAUGGGAAUAGAGUAUAGAGAUCGAAUGAUGUUAUUUUAAAUUAAUGAGGGCCCAAUUUGAAAUAAAAUAAAAUUAAUAAUUGCUUAAUGUAGUUAUUUAUCAUGGGGUCAUGGUCCCCAAUUGUAUGUGAUUUUUCAUAUCUCUCUGCAUCUCCAUCAACAGAGAAGAAAAUUCCUAGAAAUUACGUAACAAUUGGAGGAUCUUAACCCAUUCAGAAUACUAACAACUAUGGAUCAAGGUACGUUUCCGCUUUUUUAAUAUUCUCUUUGAUUUCAACAUGGAGUAUUUAUGUGAUUUUGUGAAAGGAUUUGAUAGAAUUUUGGUUCCAUUCAAUUCCUACAUUACCUUUCUAGUUAUCUUGGUGAACAUGGCUAGAAUAUAUGUUAUAGUGGACUAGAAGUGUGUCAUUGCAUCAUAACUCUGCAACAAAUGAUAAAAAGCAUAAAGUGAUUGGUGUAAAACAAUGUCAAAGGUAUAAUGAAGAUGGAUAUUAAAGUUUUUCUUCCGCACAUCCAUCUGUCUUAUCUCAGAAAAUGCUAGGGCGGCCUAAUACAUAGAUAUGAAUUCCCAAUAUACCCCUAUCAUAAAGUCGAUCCGCUGUUCAAGAGCUAAGUAAAUAAUAUAAUUAGGCUUCACAUAGUCAAUAUAUCCCUAUGAUUAAAGGUUGAUAAGCAAUUCAAGAGAUAAGUAAACAAUAUAAUUAGACUCUACAGAGUCCAACAAUUACUAUAUUUAUCCUAUAAGAGUAGCAAAAAUGGACAACAUCCAAUUCUCACUUGCAAAGAUUCAUAUGUUAAUAUAGACAGAAGCAUGUAUACUUACCCUGGAAAUGAAACAAUUGUCACCAUCACUAUUAUUAGAGGGUACAAAUCUGUCAUAAGUCUCGUAAAAAAAUCUCGUCAACUGGUCCAAGAAGGUCUACUCCAGGCUUCAGUUCAACUUUGGGGUUGUUUGUCUCCGUUUCUACUGAAACAAAGGCAAUAUAUUUUCCUUUUGGUGCAACAUUGUGUGCGUAAGAGCAAUAGACCAUAUACCUUUUGUAAAUAAACAAUUAUGUCUUUGAGGAUAUCUUGACUAAUUAUCUGAAAAUGAUCUCUUUUGUGGUCCAAAUGAAAAAUAUCUGCUCAAAUAUUAGAAAUAUUCAUCACGGUAGCAAUACAUAAUAACUUGCUACAAAUGUCUUGAGACAGACAGGCAUAGGAGGUCCACGUGAUGACACUGCAGAACACAAAUAAAUGCCCUUACUCUGGAUCAUCUUCAUCAAUUUAAAAUUUCUGCUUCACGCAUUUUAGUUUUUUUUUUUUAUUGUUUCUAUAGGUUUUUUAUGUACACUCCCCUCACAUGAGGGGAGGGGCCCAUGCCCAAUUAAUGCGCGAGUCCUAUCCCUUGUGAGGGGGCUGUACACAAAGCUAUAAAGCUCAGUGUACAUGUAGCACCCUCCAAUGAAUAUUAUUUUGUAUACAUCUUCACAAACAUGUAUCUAUGCUACUGUACAAAGAGCGUGGCCAUAGUAUAUGUAAGAAUUUUAAAAUGCACAUAUGAUAUAUACAUUCUUCAUAAUAAAAAGGGAAGAAAUGAUAUAUAAGGUAAUAAAAUGUGCACAUUAUUUAUCAUCAACCAAGCCUCAUCUAGUAUGCACAUAUCAGAAGGAAAUCCCCCCAAUGGUCACUGAAUCUUGCAAAAAAUCCCCUAGGUGGUCACCGAACUUCAAUACGUCACUAAAUAGUCACUAAACUUUUCCGAAGUCCCCCCAAGUGGUUACCGAACUUCAAAACGUCCCUGAAUGGUCACUAAACUUUGCAAAAAGUCCCUAGGAGGUCACUAAACUAGUAAUGUAUGGGGUCCCAAUUUACAACGUUGAGUGACCUCUCUGGAGGACUUCAUCAAAGUUCAGUGACAAUUUAAAGACGUUUUGAAGUUCAGUGACCUCUUGGGGGGAUUUCGAUAAAGUUCAGUGACUAUUUAGGGACGUGUUGAAGUUUGGUGACCUUCUAGGAGAUUUUCUGCAAAGUUCAGUGACCAUUAGGGGGAUUUCCUCCACAUAUCAACAUAUAACCGUACAUAUUACAAGUAGCACUAAAAGGUUCGGUUAUGUAUAUGUCUAACACUAAGACAAAAACUGGUAAAUAUUGUUGAGCGGAAGAUGAUGACCACCAAGGCUUGAACUGGGCUUAAUUUUUUCUGAAUCAAUUCUACAAGCAAAACAACCAUAAACUUCCUUCACAGCCUCUCCCACUUACAAUUGCUACAAUUACCCACUUAGAGAACCACAAAGGGGAAUGAAAUCACAAUGAGAACAACCACAGAGGUAGCAAAAUGAGUGAACAGAAUCGAGGCAGAGAGAUCACAAAAGAGACAGCUGGUUUUUCUUGCACAAAGAGAGAACGCGAAAAGGGAAAUAUAACCAAAACAAUGGGACAAUUAAGGUAAGUAGGGAUAGGGUAUGGUAAUGGGUCAAAAGGAGACCUAACACAUAGUUAAAUGGAUCGCUAAGUGUGUUACCCUAUAUUUAGCCAUCCAGGCAAGUGAGAUGGGCCAUGAGUGGCACUAAUUUAAAUUAGGCUGCUUCUAAUGGCCCAAAAAAAUGUUGGGGUUUGGUCAUUUCGUUUGAGGCAUCGGUAUAACGUUCAAUCAUUUGGUCAAUGUUGACUGAAAAAAUAAACUGAGAUCACAUGUUGUUUGACAAAAAUUAAGAAAUAUAAAGAAAUUGUGAUACCAUCUAGUUAGACAUAUGUACCAGUUAACCUUCAUUUUAUCACUUAACAAAUUACCAAAAAUUCACAUUUUAGCAUAAGAUUGUUGGAAAACAAGUUCAAUUAUCUUUGCAUUCUUAGUUGCCUCCACAAUCUAACAAAAAAGGCACUUUAACAAUUGACAACUUUUUAUUAUAGGGAACAUUCAUUGAUCAAGCAAUGACAGUCCUAGAAUAAAGGACUUAAAUUUACUUGGAAAUAGUAAUGUCUAAUGGACUAUUUUCUGGUUACUCCAUUUCAAUUAUUAUCAGACACAAAACGUUAUUUUACAAAAGAAGAAAAAGAAUAUACGGUUGGCCGACUAAUAGUCUAAGUGUCUAAUUGGAAAGUCAAGAGAUACCAAUAUUAACCAAGAUUCUAAAAAAUACAAUCAUAAACUGAAAAUAAAGUACAAGAAAUAAAAAUGAACACAAGGAUUUUUUAGGCCGAAGCCCCAAAGAUUCAGCAACCACUUCUAACUCCGAAUCCCCUAUUGAGCAUCCAUUAAAAUGGAUAAAGCUCGGUUGCACUAUAAAGCCCCAAAAUCAGGCACCAAAAAUUACAAGAAUGUUCUAGCAAUUACAAGAAAUAAAGUCACUAAGACUUAUCUAUAAAAUGAAGCACAAAUCAAGCCUCACUCCACUAAGGAAUCAAGAAACCCGGAUCAAACAGGUCAGAAAAACAAACUGCAUUCUUCAAACCACAAAAGAAUGAGUGCUAAUACACAGUUUAUCACUUUCUACCGAGAGACUAUACACAUAAUCACAAAGAUUUCACAAAAAAUUGAACUUCAAACAUGAAUCUCGCAGAUUCAUACACCAUACUGAAAAACCCAGUAUAUUAACACAAGUAAAUGGAGUAGAACUUCAUCAUCCCUCAAGUAUACACCUGAGAAUCACUCAAAAUUGGCUUGAAUAUGUGAAGAAGAGGGAUUUCAUCCAUAGAGAAGAAGAGAGAUGAAGAGGCGACCCCAAACCCUAGAGAAAAUCUCUCAAAUCUGAACAUGUAAGAAUAAAGUCUCUCUCUCCAAUCUGAAAAAUCACGUUCCUAGUAGAGAAUCACAAGAUUUCAUAAUUGGAAGUCUCUAGAAUCUGAUAAGAUGAUCAUCAUGAUGCCAGGUGUCGAAAUCUUGUUAAUUGCCACAACUAAUAGAGUUGUCAUUUUGAAAACACGUUUUUCUCCAAAGAUUUUUGGAAGCAUACUUGUCAAAAUAAAAAUCAGCAGUUUGAAUUCUCAACAAUCUCCACCUUACUUCCAAAAUUUAAGCCUAUAGUGCAACCAGGAGCUUCACCAACAUUCUAUUGUACCUGUACAAUCAAUGAAAAGAAUCUCAGUGAAAAGAAUCAAUAGAUAACAUCUUUAAACAAUUUUGAAACCAUUUUAAAGGUAUCACCUUAGUUCCCAUAUCGGAUGGAUUAUAUAAAGUAUGUAUUUUAUUAAUUUUUAGCAAACUUUUAGAAAUAAUAUCCCUUAUAAAAUGGUAUUUUACAUCAACAUGUUUUGUUCUAUCAUGAAACAUGGGAUUCUUACUCAAAUGGAUUGCAUUUUGAUUGUCAGAAUAUAGUGUUGGAUUAGUAUCUACAAAACCAAGUUCAUUCAACAAACCAUGAAGCCUUAUACCUUCUUUAAUGCCAUCAGUGACAGCAAUAUAUUCAGCCUCGGUGGAAGAUAAAGCAACAAUUUUUUGUAACUAAGAUUUUCAACUUAUCACAUUACCACACAAAGUGUAAAAAUAAGAUGAAGUUGAUUUUCUAUUGUCUCUAUUUCCACCAAAAUCAGAAUCUGUAUAACCCUUUAAAAUUACCCCCUCUUUGUCAUUUUAAACAUCAAACCCAAGUUGUAUGAACCCUUUAAAUAUCUCAAUAACCACUUCAAGGCUUCCCAAUGAGUUUUACCAGGAUUUCUCAUAAAUCUACUCAAAACACUAUUACUAGAAGUCAAAUCAGGUCUGGUACAAAUUAUUAAGUACAUGACUGAACCAAUAGCAUUAACAUAAGGUAUUUUAGACAUUCUCUCAAGUUCAUCUUCAGUUUUUGGACACGAAUCAGAUGUUAAAAUAAAGUGAUUGGCAAGGGGUAAAGUCAGAGGUUUACAAUCAAACAUAUUAAAUUUCUUAAGGAUCUUAUUCACAUACUCUUCUUGAUAUAUAAAAACAAGCAAUCAUAUUUUUCAUCUCUUAUAAUAUGCAUGCCAGGUAUUUUCUUAGCGGAACCAAGAUCCUUCAUAUCAGAUUCUGAAUUUAAUUUGUGUUUGAUAUCAUCAAUUUCGGAUUUAUUGACACUAUGCAUAUCAUCAACGUAAAGCACAAGAUAAAAAGAAUCUUUACCUUCAUUUCUUUUACAAUAAAGACAUGUAUCAUAAUUGCUUCUACUAAACCCAAGCUUCAAGAUAAAUGAAUCGAAUCUUUUAUACCAUUGUCUUGGAGCUUGUUUUAGGUCAUACAAAGAUUUUUUCAACAAGCACACUAUUUUUUCAUGAUUUCCUUUAAUAAAUCCUAAAGGUUGUUUCAUGUAGAUCACUUCAUCCAAUUCACCAUAUAAAAAUGUAAUUUUUGUAUCUAGUUGAUCAAGUUUCCACUUAAAUUGCACAACCAAAGCAAGAAUACAUCUUAUAGUUGUAUAUUUAACAACAGGGGAAAAAUCUCAUCAUAGUCCACACCCUCUUUUUGUGUGAAACCCUUUACAACAAGCCUAGCUUUGUAUCUAACAUUGUUAGUGCCACCUUCCCCUUCCUUUAUCUUAUAAAUCCACUUGCAAUCAACUAGCUUCUUAUCCUUAGGUCUAUCAACCAAUUUCCAAGUUUUAUUUUUGUAUAGAGAAGACAUCUCUUCUUCCAUAGCACUCAACCACCGCUUAGAAUCUUUAGAUUUUAAGGCUUCAUGAUAAAAACUAGGUUCAGUUUCAAAUUCAUCUUGAUAAGUGAACAAAGACACAAAGUUAUCACUAUUAAACCUAGCUGGUGGUCUAAUUUGUCUCCUAUCCCUGUCUCUAGUGAACUGGUAUUCAUCUAGAGGUGUGUUAUCAUCAUUAUACUACUCAGGUUCAGCCAAAUCAGGCUUGUUUUCACUCUGAUCAGCCUCAUAAGUUGCUAUUUCUAAGGGGACAAAAUUGAUAAUUUCGAUUUUAAUAGACUCCACCUCAACUUAGAUAUCAUUUUCAGUCAAAUUUCCCUCUUUCCCUUCCAAACAUGACAUACAUGACUCAUUAAAACCACAUCCCUUCUUAUAAUAACCUUGUAACCUUUUUCCCCAUAAACUCAAAGCCUAUAUCCUUUAACAUUUUUAGCAUAACCUAAAAACACACAUUUAAGGUAUCUAGGUUCAAGUUUUCCUAUGUUUUGAUGAGCAUAUGUAGCACAACCAAAUGUUUUCAAAUAAGAAUAGUUCACAGGCUUUUGUGUCCACACAGAUUCAAGCACAUCAAAAUUUAAAGCAAUUUUAAGACUUCUAUUAAUCAAAUAUGCAGCAGUUUUAACAGCUUCACCCCAAAAUAAUUUGGGCAAAUCGAAACUCAAAAGCAUGCAUCUAACUUUAUUCAACAAAGUCCUAUUCAUUCUUUCUGCAAUGCCAUUUUGCUGGGGUGUGUAGGUCACAGUUCUAUGUCUUAAAAUGCCAUUCAACUUGCAAAAUUCAUUAUACUGAUAAUCGCAAAAUUCUAGACCAGUGUCGGUUCUCAAAGUUUUGAUUUUCAAAUAAGUUUGAUUUUCAAUUUGGGUUUUCCAAUAUUUAAAUGUGGCAAAUGUUUCAUCUUUAGUUUUCAAAAGAAAUACCCAAAUUUUUCUAGAGAUAUAAUCAAUUAUAAACAAGUAAUACUUGUAACCAGACAAUGUAGGGAUGGAUGCAGGGCCCCACAAAUCAGAAUGUAAGUAUUCUGGAAUUCACUUUGAUUUAUGAGUACUAGCGGGAAAAGGUAACUUGCUUUCCAAUCAAACAUUGUUUACAUUUAGACAAAUCACCAAUAUUUGAUUUUCCAAAUACACCUUUAUUUUGUAAAGCCUUUAAACCUUUUUCACCAAUGUGACAAAGUCUACAAUGCCGCAAUUUUGCAAGAUUAAAGUUAUCAUCUAAAACUGCUGCUGAAAGGCCCAACAAAGGUUUUGCAUUUAAAAACUAUAAAUCAUGUCUCUUUGGAAUAGAAGUGAUCAAAUCACUACCCCUAAAGAUUAUAUGUCCUUGACUCAAUUUUAUGUCAAACUCUAUGUCAUCCAACAUUCCUAGAGACACAAGAUUUUUUUCUAAUUUAGGAACAAUCAUCUUUUAACAAUAAAAUUUUGUCAUUUUCAAAGAGCAAUUUUAUGGUUCCAAUACCUUUCACUUUACAGGUCAUGUUGUUUUCCAUAAUAACUUGGUCCCCUUUAGUUUGUUCAAAGUCCAAAAAUAGUUUUUAUUAGGGUACAUGUAGAAAGAGCAACUUGAAUCAAGAAUCCAUUCUUGAUUUAGGUUCCUUUCAACAUUUACAAGAAUCAGGCUGUUAUCAAAUUUUUGCUUAUCAUAGGACAAAAUAGCAUUAUCCUCGUUUAACUUCAUUCCUUUCAAAUCAUUUUGCUUUUUGUAGCAAUCUUUUGCAAAGUGACCCAACUUACCACAAUAAUAACAUUUCUUUCCCUUUGCCUUAGUUUUGGAUUUCAUUUUGUCAUUGUUUCUUCUCUUAGGGUCAGUUUGAAAUUUUGAAAGAAAAUUAGAUUUACCAACAUUUUUGCCUUUUAUCAAAAGAUUUUUUCCACUUUGUUGGUUGAUAAAAUCUGAUUUUAAUUCAGGAACCAUAUUUCUUAAGGAAUUUAUAAUGAUAUAUGUGGUAAGCUUGUCUUUACCAUAUUCUAAGGCAUUCUUUAGGUCUUUAUGCCUAUCACUAAUGGAGUUUAACAAGACCAUAGCCAGCUGAUCUUCUAAUAAUUUCUCAUCACAGUUGGCAAGGUCUUGGGUCAAUUUUGUAAAUCUGUCCAAGUUCUCAUCUAAGUCAACAGAAGGAUCCAUUUUGAAAGAAAAGAUUUGUUUUAGCAAAAAAAUUUGUUUGGAAUAGUUUUUGGCUCAUAUUGGGUUUUCAAUUUAGUCCACAAUUCUUCAACAGUUUUAAUUUCACCUAUAGACCUAAUCACAUUGUCUGAAAGGUACAAGAAAAUAGUAGUCCAUGCUAUUUCUUCUAACUCAGUUCUUUUUGUAGCAAACAUUUCAGUAGGCCAAGAAUUAUCUAAGGCUUUAGCAUAUUUCAUUUGCAUCAAGAUAACCAUCAUUUUCUGGCUCCACAUGUCCCCUGUCCCAUCAUACAUGCUCACUUCAAGCUUAGCAGUAGCCAUGACAAGAUUCACCAAGAUAGUUCACAUAACACAAGUUCAAAUUCAAGAACACACAGGGAUAAACAAUAAGAGUACUGGGUAGAAUAGGGGAUUUGGGGUCAGUGACCAAUGCACUUAUAUUAUUUUCACAAAAUAGUAAACACUUAACACUAAGUAUAGAAAGCAAAUUCCCAAAGAACAGAGAUGACAAUCCUAUGUCUCAACUAACUUCCCUAGCAAGACCUUCCAAUUGCACUCCUACUAGUGUUGUUAUCUUAGAUUCCCAAGACUUCUUGAGUCUUUGGACAAAGACCGGCCAUAGUAGGUUUUGUUAGUGAAAGGUAAAUCAAGGAAAAAAUUAGGAGACCCUACUGUAAAGAUUAAUUACAGAAUGAAGGAAAGAUCUCACCAAUGAGUUUGAUAAAACUCAAUUUCCACCAGCCAAUGUUUACUGCAGGUUUCAGGAAUCAGGUUUAAUCAAGAAAUCACAAAGCUCCAGUAGUCCAGGUUGCUCUAAUACCAUUGAACAGUUGAGAGAAACCAAUAUUAGCCAAGAUUCCAAAAACACUAUCAUAAAUUGAAAGUAAAGUGCAGGAAAUAAAAAUGAACACAAGAAUUUUUUCGACCGAAGCCCUAGAGGUUCGGCGACCACUUCUAAUGCCUAAUCCCUUGUUGAGCAUCUAUUAAAAUGGAUAAAUCUCGGUUGCACUAUAAAGCCCCAAAAUCAGGCACAAAAAAUUACAAGAAUGUUCCAGCAAUUACAAGAAAUAAAGUCACCAAGACUUAUCUUUAAAAUGAAGCACAAAUCAAGCCUCACUCCACUAAGGAAUCAAGAUACCCGGAUCACACAGGUCACAAAAACAAACUGCCCUCUUCGAACCAUAGACGAAUGAGUGCUAAUACACAGUGUAUCACUUUCUACUGAGAGACUAUACACAAAAUCACAAAGAUUUCAUAGAAAUUUUAACUUCCAACAUGAAUCUUGCAGAUUCAUACACCAUACCAAAAAACCCAGUGUAUUAACACAAGUAAAUGGAGUAGAACUUCAUCAUCCCUCAAGUAUACACCUGAGAAUCACUCAAAAUUGGCUUGAAUAUGUGAAGAAGAGGGAUUUCAUACACAAAGAAGAAGAGAGAUGAAGAGGCGACCCCAAACCCUAGAGAAAAUCUCUCAAAUCUGAAAAUGUAAGAAUAAAGUCUCUCUCUCCAAUCUGAAAA